rnacentral:lncRNA from 1 species
UUUUUUUUUUUUUUUGGUGUUGUUGGUGGGUCUCAUUGGAAUUUAAGCUUCUGGAAUUUAAGCAAUGUAAAUUUUGUUGCGGGUUAUGUUAUGAAUUUUGUUUUAUUUCAACUUUGGUGUUUAUGUUGUGAAUUUUGUUGCGGGUUAUGUUAUGGUAUGCAGAAUUUAUUUCAAUAUUAUUUGUUUUAGAAAUUUUGGUGGGUCUCGUUGGAAUGUAAGCUUCUGGAAUUUAAGCAAUGUAAAUUUUGUUGCGGGUUAUAUUAUGAAUUUUAUUUUAUUUGGUGUUUAUAUUGUGAAUUUUGUUGUGCAUUAUGUUAUAAAUUUUGUGUUGGCAUUUGCAUGGAAUGAUGGAACUGUCUGAAUUGGGAUUUAAGUUAGAAAAAGUGGCAAAUUAAAAAAUCAUUUCAAAUGUUUGGUUAAUGUGUUGUUUUUGUUUGUUGGCAUUUGCAUUUUUUUUCAUUUUCCAAUAUAUAUGUUUUAUUAUUGGGUCCGUUAGCAAUUGUUGCAUUUUUUUAUAGAUAUGAAUUAUAAUUACAAUAGUAAAUUCAGUUCAUAGUACAAAUUAAAAGAACUUUAAAAAAAAUCUUGAAUAUAAAACAUAGUAAAAUAAUUACAAGUAUUCUAAUCAAAUCAUAACGUGGUGUUUGUCUUCUUCGAAGUUCAUCAUUAAACAAUCCCCUCUGCGCUUCACAUAAUUGAAACUUAACAGACAAGCAUUCAAUCUCCAAUGCCAACUUUUUAACUUCCUCCACUAACAAAUCAAUUUUCUCUUCACUGCAUUUACGGUCUUCUGCCCAUUCAAAUUUCUUACAUCCUCUACAUUUCCAAAAUUUACGAUUUGGAUUCUUUGUAGUACGUGACGUGAACAACUCCAUUUGUUCACCGCAUUCGUUACAUAUUUGCAAUGAAUUUCGAGUUUCAUUUGUACUAGAUGACAUCGUCAUUCAUAAACUACUUAAACUGCCAAAAUAUAAAAAAACAGCAGGCAUACAAUCCUGGAAGUUAAAAACAGAGCAAAGCAAAAAUUACAGCAACCAUGCAAUUAAUCGAUUGUUAAAAACAGAGCAAAAAUUGCACCAAGCAUGCAAUUAAUCCACUAUAAAUUGCCGUCAUAUCCACAGAUAUCUGAUUCCAAAUAUUCUUUUACCAAACAAUUACAUUUUUCUACUUCAUAUGACAAGAACAAACAAAACAUUAUAUCCCAAUUGACAGAAACCAGAAAUUUCAAACAAAUGUUCAAUAAACCAUCAUGCCCGCAAAGAUGACUUCCUUCUGAAAAAAUAUAUAUAUAUAUAUAUACGGGUACAAGUUUCAAUUUCAACCACUUCCAUCAACAAUGAUAGUGCCAGUAAAUUAUCUAAUGAACAAAAAUGACAAAAUCAGCCCUUGCAAAUACAUACAAUUGACAUAAACCUCAAAACUGUUGUAAUUUCCUCAGCAUUGAUCAAAAUUGAUUCUUGCCCAUAAGGCUAACACAUUUGCAUUUUUAAGUCAUUCAGAUCUAAAUAACAAAACUCCAACUGACAAAAGUUCUUAAAUUAGAUCCAAACUAGAAAAUAUCAAACAACUUAUUAAUUGCAGAAUAACCAAAAAAUAUUAAACCAAACAGAACAAAACCGAGAAAAUAAAAGUGUAAAAAAAAAAUGAAACAAGAGCGACAAACAGUGAGAGCAAAGACAUUGUUCCCCAAAAGCAACAAAAAAAUAAAAGAUAAAUGAGAUACCUCGGAGGAGGAGGAACAGCUAGCCAGCAGCCUCUUCGUUAAAGAACUUUAGCCCAGAAAAAAAAAUUACUACUGCAGAGCCUUCCCUUUUUGUACGAAGCAAAGGUAAUCAAGAUUACUAGUGCUAGGGAAAGGACCGUGAGGGAUCUGGAAGCAUGAGGGAGAGAGAAGCUGGAGGGGCAAGCCGGAAGCGUGAGGGAGAGAGAAGCUGGUGAGGCAUGCCGGAAGCCGUGAGGGAGCUUCUGGAAGCGUGAGGCAGAGAGAAGCUGGUGAGGCACGCCAGAAGCGUGAGGGGGAGAAGCUGGUGAGGCACGCCGGAAGCCGUGAGGGAGAGAGGAAAGUGAGGGUUGGAGAUAAGUUAGGGAGCUUCUGGAAGCGUGAGGGAGAGAGAAGCUGGUGAGGCAAGCCGGAAGCGUGAGGGGGAGAAGCUGGUGAGGCACGCCGGAAGCCGUGAGGGAGAGAGGAAAGUGAGGGUUGGAGAUAAGUUGAUAAGAUUUCCCUCUGCACGAAGCGAUAAAGCAAUCUUUAUUUAUUCAUUUAUUUAUUCAUUCUUUUAUUAUUUUAAUGUUUUAUGUAGCGAGAGGAACGAGAAGCGAAACGGCAAGAGAGAAUGCCGUUUCUCUCGUCAUUCUCUCGUUCCUCUCGCUCCUUAGCAUUUUCCUAACAUUUUAGCCUACAUGUUGUACUUGUUUACUGAGUUAAAUGUUUGAAAGGAAUACUUUCUCAUUAAAAAAAAAAAAACAAGUCAAAGCGUCACCGACAGAUUUUUAACUAUCAAAUUUAUAUGGAAUAAUUAGACUUCUCAAAUUUUAUUUUGAAAAUUCUUUGUCAAUAAGACGUGGUGGCACUCAAUAUGCUGAAUUGUAAGCAUUUAAUCACCUUGAAUCAUCGGUGGGCCUAAGCCAAUUCAAUGGCCUAAAAUUGAUAACAGCCAUCAGUUCAACGUAAACAGCUGUCUGGACGAAGCAUCAAAGCACGUCCCCUCCUUAUUCUCGAAGUCCCACGAGAAGCAGAUACCCCAAUAUUAUGGCGAGACAUAUCAUAUGAGUUUGUUAAUCAAAUUGCUUUCAUUACUUUAAACGCAGAUCAUAUAAUAUGAAUGCUGCCAAUAGGGAUGAUAGAAGCUCGAAGAAUUAUUCCAUUGGCUUUCCAAAUCUCACCAAUAACGAACAAGUACAUGCACAUUCAAAAGCUAGCUCAACAUUAUGUGGUUGUCCAAAUCUUAUAUAUUUAAUCUAAAAUUCAGUUUAACCAAUGUACGAUAAUCUUUUCGCCUAAUCCUUCUCAUGUUGAAAGUUAGUAUGGUCAUGCAUGUGUCUCCGCUCAUGUCCCUAACACCCUCUUUGCGGACACGUUUAUUAUUUUGAGUAGUCUUUUAUCACUUAGAAAUUAAAGGUAGAGCGAUAGUGUCGCUCUACUCAUACAUGCCAUUUAAAAAAAAUUAACUCAAGAGAUUAUUUUUCAAUUAAAGGGAAAUAAUAACGUGCUGUUCCUAGCCAUGUAGGAAGCAAAUUGCAAAAAUUUGAACUACAUGGGGGCUUCUAACUAAAAUAACUUUAAAACGAAAAACUAUUGUGUUGUUGGAUUUAAAUCCAUCAGCUCCAAUUGGGAUCCAACACUUUAAUUAAAAUACAAAAUCUCUUAUUAGAUAAUUUUUCUCACUAUAUAUAGGGAUCUUCCAAGAGAAAAUGAAAUUAAAGAAGCAAGAGGAUGUUAUUAGUAGAUUACCAGAUUAAAUUCUGAUGAAAAUUUUGCCUCGCCUAACAAUUAAAGAGGCUCCAAAAAACCAGCAACUUAUCAGAUAGCUGGAGAUUUUUUGUGGACAUAUUUCAGCGGUUCUUUAGAUUUUAAUGAUGCAGUCGACAUGAAGGGCUUGUCAAUGACACUUAAUUUGAUUCGCCAAGGGAUGUAAUUAGAAAGCGAAGGUUGCUGGGUUGUAUAACGAUAGAUAAAGUUUUGAGAUCACUGAAAGACACCCAUCUCUACACGAGUUGAGAAUCUUUUUCAUUUUAGAAUCCUUCUAAUUUCUAUGAUGUUGACAGACGGUAGCUGGCUUCAAUUUGUUAUUCAAAAGAGAGUUCAAGGGCUUGAAUUGGAAUUGUGGAGAGAUGGGUUGAGCCUUACAAUUUUCCCUCACAUUUUAGUCAGAUUUAUGAUUCAAAUGACCCAAAAUGAUCUGUUUAGCUAAAGUGAGACCAAGAUCGUGAUGAUAGUUAAUGAAACAAAAAUAUUUAUAAUAUUAUCUUUAUUUUGUAAAAUAUUAAUUCGAAAUUAAAAUUAGAAAUCUAUUGGGGCCGCCUCAUUUUUUAAAGUGAGAAUUUGAAGUUAUAAUUAGAAAUUUGUUGGGAUUAGUCUUGAUUAGUAUAAUGAUGAAGAAUUGGGUUAAUUUGUGAAUUUAUAGUAAGUUAACUCUGAUCAACAUUAUUAAAACCUCUGGCCAGAAUUGGGUUAAUUUAACUAAGGUGGCGUUUUUUUUUUAACUUAAUGACUUAAAGUGACUUAACUUAAUUAAUUAAGUUAAUUAGAGGUGUCUAUUUUUAUAACUUAAUGAGACUUUUUAGAUAAUUUUGACUUAAUAAAAUAAGCCAAUUUUUUUGGCUUUUUACUUAAUGGAGAAAUCUGAAUUAAGUCAAUUACUUGCUAAUGUCAAAAAUAUCCUUGCUUUAUAAUUUAUUUUCCAUGUCUAUCCCAAACUCACCCAUAGACAUUUACCCCACAUAAAAAUAUCCUUACUUUUCUUUCUUAUAUUAUAUACGAUAAAAUUUAACAUUUAUGGUAUUUUAUAUAUUAAAAUUCUAAAAUAAUUAUGUAUUCACUUAAAUAUAGUUUUACUUAUAAAUGUUAAAAUAUUGUGGUAUUUAAUAUAUUAUUUAUUUGACAUUCAAAUUUAAUAAGGAUACAAAUGUAAAAGUACAUAUUUUUAGCUUUUUAAGUUGAAAAAAAACAAACAAUUUAAUACUUAUUUUCUGAUAUUCAGACAAAAAAACAAACAUGUUAUUCAGAUUCAGACAUUCAGAUCUAUUCAGAAUUCAGACUAAUUCAGGUCUAUUCAAAUUUCAGACAAAAAAACAAACGCCACCUAAGUAUUUUUAUGACUCCACAUAACUCUUCAUUAUUACAUGGAAGAUAAAAGAAGCAAAAUAAGAAACAGUUUGCAGAGGCUAAUUUAUCAAUUAUCAUAUCAUCACGAGCUCUAAAGCAAUGGAUACCGUCCAUAUUUUUACUUCUUAAUAAAAUUAUUUUAUGUAACAAAUUCAGAUCUCAAGAGUCAAGUCAUUAUAGCUUGGUGACGGUGCACGACUAAAGGGGAACCAAACGCAUCUUUGCUUUUAUGAUUUCAACACGUGUCACAUAUUAUUUUAUACUGGGUAAAUCAUUUUUUUAAUUACUUUUAAUUAUGGAGUUUUUUUCUAUUUAUUUAUUUUUUAUGAAUAGUUAAAAAGAAACUGCUUUAUUUGUGUUUGAUGUACUUCAUUUCACAUGCUUAAUUUUAUGUUUUCUUUAAUUAAGAGUGCGUUUGUUAUUGAGGUUGGACAGCUGCAUCUUAAAAGCUACAGUAGUAAAGUGUUUGGUAAAUACUAAUUGCUGUAACUUAAAAGUUAUGUUGAUAUGAUUUUUCACUCGUAUAAUAUAAAAUCUAUUAUAUUUUUAAUAAUUUUGUCAAAAUUAUUAUUUAAAAUUUAUAUUUACUACAUAUUAUUAAUUUUUAUUUUAUAAUUAUAAUUUUUUUUCCACAACAACUCUAACUUAAAAGUCACGAUACUUCAAUCUCAAAUACACCCUCAGUUAAUUUAUGCGAAACCCAAAUCGACGUCAAAUGCUCUUCUAAUUUAACGAUAAACAUCGUUAAUCUAUCAAUAUGAUUUUAAUUAAAAUUCUAAUAUUGAUCAAAUGCUUAAAUGAUAAAAAUAUUAUGUUUGUUUUAGUGUUUCAAUAAUAUUUUAUUAAACCACAGAAAAUUUUUCAAAUAUCAUAUAAAUUAUAAAAGUAUCGUCAGUGACACCAUACAAUUCGAAGAAAUGUUAUCCAGGAUCUCAACUUUACUAAAUUUUAUUGAUAAAAUUACUGUUUAUAGCGGGUGGUUGUAAAUUUCGAAAAUUUUGAGUUUGUUGGUAAGUGCUUUUUAUGUACAGACUUUGGACAAAAUUUAUUUCCCCACUUUAUAGUUUUUGCACUUGUUUUUGGGGAAUUAGGGGCAAAUUGCUAAUUUGGAUAUUGUAUCAAUUUAUUAACAACUGUAAAAUUUGAUUAUAGAUGUAAUUUAAAAAGUAUCUUAAUAUUAAUUUCACCAUAGUUAUAUAUGUAUUUUUUUUUUUUUUAAGAAGAUAGCGGCAUCUAAUGGUUUGACAAAAUGGUUAUAAGGGCCUUUUUGUUUUUAGAAAUAGCCACACAUAAUUUUUUUUUUUUUAGGAUAAUUAUGCCUAAAUGAAUUACAAAUGAAUCAAUAUAAUAUAAUCUCCACAAUCAUAAAAUGAAUUACAAAUGAAUCAAUAUAAGAUAAUCUCCACAAUCAUUGUGCUAUGUCUUUAUCCUUUCUCCUCUCAUAAUUUAUAGAUAAAAUUUGUUGAGAUGGACUUUGAUCAAUAUAGUAGAUUAACAGCAAUGAGUGUAACUUAAAGUUACAAAUUUAUCAAAAAUUUAGUUACUUAUCAGAAUCAGUCUCAAUCAUUACAACGGCUAUAAGUGCAAUUCAGAAGUAAAAAAUUGAUACUAAAAAUAAAAGAAUUUGCUUUAAAUAAAAUUUUCAAAAAAAAAAUAAAAUUGAGAACCUCCAAACUAAGAGUUGGUUCUCCAAUAUCUUUUAAAAGAAAAAAAAGAUAGCGAUAUUCAAUGAUUUGGCAAAAUGAUUAUAGAAACUCUUUUGUUUUUAGAAAUGGUCACCGGACAUUUUUUUUUAACAAUUAAGUUUAGGUAAAUUACAAAUGAAUCAAUAUAAUUCAAUCUUCAUAACCAUUGCGUUAUGUAGUUAUCCUUUCUCCUCUUAUAAUUUAUGGAUAAAUUUUGUUGAGAUAGACUUUGGUCAAUACAGUAGAUUAAUAGCAAUGACUGUAACUUAAAAAUUAGAAAUUUAUCAAAAUUUUAGUUACUUAUUGGGAUCAGGCUUAAUUAUUACAACGACUAUUAAAGGAAUUAAGAAGUUAAAAUUGAUACUAAAAAUGAAAGAAUUUACUUCAAAAAAAAAUUUUUUAAAAAAAUUGAGAACCUCCCAACCAAGAGUUGGUUCUCCAAUCUCCAUGGUAAUUAAAGAAUUAAAAAAAUUGAGUGUUCUCUUGUAUUUAGCUAUUUAAAGACAAAAUUGUUUUCUUCUUCGGCAGUGUGACUUAUAAUUUAAAAUAAUACUAAAGGGGACCAACUUGUAAACAUCAUCAACGACCCAGAUGUUGGGCAUGCCGCCUACCAUGGGCGUCACCCUCACUAGAUAACCACGAAUUCAGAAAAGAAGAGGAGCUUUGCUUGGUGCCAUAUUGACCACACUACCCUCAGAUCUACUCCCUCUUGUCCAAAUUUUAUGAGGUCACUUGCGUCAUAAAAUUAUGGUUUGGUAAAUAAAAUAUUAAAAUUCUGCCGCUACAUCUUGCAUUGGUGUUGCCACUUGCCAGGGAGCAAAAUAAAAUUAUCAUAAGCUUUUUCGUCUCGAUAUGAUUUUUAUUCAUUCUUAAAUCUAUAAAAAAAUAUUGCUACAAAGUAUUGCACCAACUCCACCAUUUUUUUUAAUAUAUGAGAAUAUAUAAUAUAAUAAUUAUUAAAGGAUUAUAUGACAGGAAGGGGUCGGGAUGGCGCGAGAACGCCAAAUUUAUUAUUACUAUUAUUAUUAUUAUUAUUAUUAUUAUAGAUUUACAUUUUAUUAAUUUAUAUUUUUUUAUCAAAUAAAUUAAUAAUUGAUAUAAUAAUUAUUAAAAAAUUACUAGUGGGAGGUAGGGGGGUUAGCAGCGUCAGCUUGCCUUUGUGCCUAUGGCUGGCUGGAGACAACUUUUGGGUCAAUCCACAUCCUCUGAUUGAAAUUGAGCGUCAAUGUCGGUGAUGCAGACUGAGGAACGUUCAAUUACGAUAAUACCCUCGUUCUUUUAUCACGAGAAAGAUUUUACCGGCGUUUACCGGUGACUACAAGUCACACGACAAGAUCCACCACCACCUUUAGCAUCAAAGAUUUGUUCAAUUAAAGGGUGGCUCUUGUAAAAUUAAAAAGGCUAUUUGAACUUGCAGAUUUAAUUUAUUUUGAUGGAAUAUAUAUAUCCUAACUAAGGAAAUAAACCCAUUGCUAUAGCCGCAUCUCGUCAUGUGCACAAGAAGGAACGAAGGAAGUUGCACUUACAAAUUAUUUUUUUAUGAAUUAUAUAAGAUUAUUAUUUAAAUUACAAUUCAUAUUAUUUGUGACUAAUAUUAAUAUAUUCAUAAUUGUGUAAUUAUGAAUAAACUAUAUUCACUUAAUUAUUUUUCAUAAUUAAAGAAAAAAUUAAGUUCUAUAAUAUUUUAUGGGGUUCGAUGGUUCUGCCACUCGCCCUUUUAAAAUCUAGCAUCAGAGUUCGAAAUUUCAACUCUUGCUAGUUGUUACUUAUUUAUAUAAGUUGUCAAGUAUUCGGCCGACGGAAAGUUCGAACCCCCAUAAGCGCAAUGUGGGGGUAUUUCCUUCUUUAAUUGUAUUGUAUAAUUGAGUGAAUGUAGAGUAGACAUCCCUUGAAUAUUAGUGAGGGUUAAAAUCUGAACAGAACUCCAUAAGUAUUGAUAUAAGUUGGUCUCAAUAAUAGUUUGAUUUGUAAAUAUCAAUUAUAAUCUCAUGUAAUAUGAGGGAGAAACCAGUGGUGCAACUGUGGUACCGUGCCACAGUUGCAUCCAGCCGUUGGAUGUCAGUAGACCCUACUAAUUUAAGUGCAUCCAACGGCUGAAUAUAACUGUAGCACGGUACCACAGUUACACCAUAACCUGAUCCGUAAUAUGAGUUGUAGUUUAAGUAAUAAUCUCAUGUUAUAUAUACAUAUAGUUGUCAAGUAAAUUUGCGGGCCCCAUGUGUCCAUUUAUUUCAAAUGCUAAGUUUUGAUUCUCAGAACAAGUCCUACAAAAUCAAUUCCUCUCAUAAACUUGAAUUGAAAAUGGAUGGAUUGAUAAUUUGGUAGGCCCUUAAAAAAUUGAAUGCAAUUUAUCUUUUAUAGGAUUCUCCUAGAAGACGAUAAUCAAUUGCUGAUAGCCAGCUGGCUCCCUAUAUAAUGGGCCUCUUUCUAUUAUUGCCUUAAUUGUAAUAUCUAUUAUGUAGUUCGGGUCCGAAGACUCAAAGACCAGGGGGACGGAACUAAAAAUUUAAUUUAUAAGAUAUAAUUUUAUAAUCAAUUCUUGAAAAACAUCACAAUUUCAAUUCAGAGUCAUAGACCCAAAAGGGAUGUUUAAGUAGAGUUAUUGUAAAUAGAUUUUUAAUAAAAAAUUUAGUUAUUUAAUUGUGAAUAACAAAUUUAUUAAAAAUUAUAAAAUUAUUUUAAUAGAUAUUUAAAAAAAAAUUAUAAAAACAAAUAAAUUUUUUAAAUAAAUAAAAAAUAUUUUGAUAUUUAUCCAAUACUAGUUCUAUUCUUAGUCCAAUUACAGUACAUUAGGGUGCCAUUAUAUUCUGAUGAUUUGAUAAUCAAUGAUAUAAUUUGUUUUUUAAGUAGAUGGCCAAUCACAGUCACUCCCUCUCUCACUGCGACAGUUAAGAAGCUCGAUCGUUAACUGAAAAUUACAGUUUGGUAAAUUCAACAUCCGAGAAUGAUGGCAGUUUAGGUAUACCCGUAAUCCUUACGAGUGACGCGGCAGGUGGUAACCGGCUACAACCGGUCACCCUCCCGUCCACCGACACCCCUCUCGAGGUCACCCACGUCCGUCCGUACUGCAUCCUAACAGUUAUCAGCAGCGUUUUUAAAAUGCCACUCUUCCCGCACUCAUCACUAUAACUCACUCCACUCUGCCAACUGCCGUACUCUUCCAGUUCUCAGAACAAUCUACGCCACACGCAAUCCAACGUACAGAAAAGAAAAAAAGUGACAUGGCAAUCCCGUAGGGCAUCGCCUUUUGCUGGUAGGUUCGAUGCUUGCAUUUAUUACUCGGCUUUGUAUUCUUAUUUACUUUUUGACUGCGUUUCUUGUUUGCGUUAGUUGUCGUUUUGGGAAACGACAUGCUGAAAUUGCCACCACGUACGAGUGAAAUGCAAUGAAACGAAACGAAACGAAACGCGUAUACUUUGUUUCGUAGUGUUAUGGGAGAAAAAAGAAAAAAAGAAAAAAAUGACGUGAUGCCGAGCAUUUUUCAUGCCUGGAUCUUGUCUCGUUCCGCUGAAUUUUCGCUUUCUGUGGACCGUGGUUUUGACUUUGUUGUGAGUUUUUAGUGUAACUUGUUUAUGCUGUUUUUUUGCUCUGCUUCAGUUCAUCUCGAGUUUCAGGUUUGUUUUGUUUGGCUUUGAUUCGUUGAUAGUUUCGCUUGUACGAUUUGUACUUUAAUUAUCGUAAACUAUGAUCAGAUCAAGAAUUCUUUAAGUUUUAGUUUUUGAUAUUCAACUGCUAAUACUUCUGUUGAUCAUGUUUGGAAAUUGGAUCUGAAACGUUGUCGUUUUACUUUCAUCCUAGCACGUAGCAUCUGUAAAGUUGUGAUACUUUGUAGGCUAAUCUUCGUUUGAUUCCGACGUAGAAUGUACGCACAAUGCAUCUGGUGUCCUCUGUGUGCUCAUCAAGUCUGAUAUCUUGUUGCAGAUUAUACAGGGUUUGUUGUUAAUUGAAGAAUCGGCUCUGUUUUUUCUUCGAGUGGAGAAACUCACAUCAAUCUGUAAGGGCUGUUAUUUGGCUUUUGUUCCUUCUUCAGUAUUAGAACUUGUAUAUUUGUUUGUAGUUGGUAAAGGUGAAAUAACUUAAGUAUGAAAGAGGUUGAUAAGAGGAAGAUAAAUAAUAAACAACCAAGGCGGUCUGCUAAAACUGAAAGGACGGAGCAGAAACAGCGUCAAGAGAAUGGAAGCAAAAAUUUGAAUGCUAAACAAAUUGAAAGGAAAGCUUCAAUUACUAGACGAGACUCGGGGAAUGUAGUAAGUGAUACGAAUGCAGGCACAGAGGCCUCUGAAGUUUAUGAAAAUGGUGUUACAAAAUAUGUGGACGAUCUCAACAACUUUGAGGAGGUGCCUCUAGAUCUUAAAUCCAAUGGAACGGAAGAGUUAUCUGAUUAUGAGAAACAAGGGAAGCAGGGGAAGGAAGAGGUAUCAGAUUCCGAGACAGUGAAAGAUUCUGUAUCCUCACAAGAGGAUUCAUUGUCAGUUGAGGGUGAGAAAGUAAAAAAAUCUUCUACAGUUCCCAAGAUUAAAAAUUCUUCAGUGAAUGAUUCUCCAGGAUCAAGGGUGAGAUCUGGUCGAGAAAUGAAGGGAUUUCCUAAUACUCCGAAGAAACCCACAAAACCCGAUAGAGGUUCUUUGAGUAUUAAUACCAAAAGUUCUUCUGGUAAAAGUUGUAAUGAAAUGAAAGUUCCUACUAAACCUUCAUCUGAAACUUCUGAAGGAGUUGACGAUAAGCCUAUUGAAGAGAUGAAAGAAAUUGAUCUUUUAGAUGAGACCUCGAAUGGUGCUCAAAGCGUUGCGAGUGACAAUGAAACAGUUGAUACUGAAGAAAGUGGUGAACAUAUAGAUGAGGCAAAUUUAAAUCAAAAGAUUGAAGAAAUGGAACUGAGAAUUGAGAAACUCGAAGAGGAGCUGAGAGAUGUUGCCGCUUUGGAGAUUUCACUGUAUUCUGUAGUGCCAGAGCAUGGGAGUUCAGCACACAAGGUGCACUCACCUGCUCGACGCCUUUCUAGAAUCUACAUCCAUGCUUGCAAACAUUGGACGCAAAACAAGCGAGCCACAAUUGCUAAAAACUCUGUUUCUGGGCUUGUUUUGGUUGCCAAGUCCUGCGGUAAUGAUGUUUCAAGGUAUGAGAAUUGUAUUACUUGGUAUCAGAGUUCAAUAUGUAGUCAAUUUUGGUAUGUUACCAAUGUUUUAUUCUUUUUAUGUUAAGGUUAACCUUCUGGUUGUCAAACACCAUUGUGCUGAGGGAGAUCAUUUGUCAGGCAUUUGGCAAUUCACACAACUCGACCCCAGUUACGAGGAUUUCGGAGUCAAAUGGGUUUAGCAAAAAAAGUGAAGGAAAGUCUCAAUCACUGAAAUGGAAGGGUGGUUCUGGUAAUAAACAACUAAAUGGUCAUCUGCAGUUUGAUGAAGACUGGCAAGAGAUGGGAACUUUCAUAGCUGCAUUACAAAAAGUCGAAUCUUGGAUUUUCUCCCGGAUAGUUGAGUCCGUAUGGUGGCAGGUAAAGACUUCUCACAAUGUUAAUUUGUUGCUGUUGGUUCAUGGAAAUCAUCUAAUGAAAGUAUGCAUUUAACAUUAUUACUUUUUUUUUUGGCUCUUUAAACAGUAUUGAGCCUGUAACUUGAUGUUUAUGAACUGAUGAUUAAGUGAUAUGCCGAAGCUACAAUGAAUUUCAAUAUCAAUGCAAAUAAUCUUUCCCAUUCUUUUUGUUGUUCUUAUAAGGAUUUUUAUCAGUAGUGAUUCCUUGUGUACCAAUACAUCUGAAAAGGCUCUGAUGCACCCUUUUAACAUUUCAGGCGUUGACUCCUCAUAUGCAAUCUCCCGUUGGGUCAACCACUAAACCCAUUGGAAAAUUGUUAGGACCAGCCUUAGGUGACCAGCAGCAGGGCAGUUUUUCUAUCAACCUGUGGAAAAAUGCUUUUCAGGAUGCUCUUCAAAAACUUUGUCCUGUUCGAGCAGGAGGGCAUGAAUGUGGUUGCUUACCUGUUUUGGGGAGAAUGGUAUGUAUAUGUAGUUUUCUGUGUUUUCUUCACUCGCUAUUUUCCUGCCUUUCAUAAAUUUUAAGGUAAGAAGAAACAAAUUCUCUGUUACUUUGUAGCAGACUGUCAGAAUAUGACCAAUUUCUGCUUUAGUUUCUUUGCUUUCAUUAUGGUCUUUAAUUGUAUAUAAUUUGUAUCACUAGGUUAUGGAACAGUGUGUUGCCCGACUAGAUGUCGCAAUGUUUAAUGCGAUUCUGCGUGAGUCAGCCAAUGAGAUUCCAACUGAUCCUGUGUCAGAUCCUAUAUUAGAUUCCAAAGUUUUGCCUAUUCCUGCUGGUGAUUUGAGCUUUGGAUCUGGGGCACAACUGAAAAAUUCUGUACGUAUUAUUUUUAAUUCACUUUUACACGGUUCCUGUGGUUUAUUUAAGCAUGUCCAUGUGCGACCUGUUUCUCAAGUUACCUGUUUUGAUUAAUCAAACAGAAUUAUCAAUCUUUAGAAUAAUGAAUAUUUUUGCAACAUUUACCCAGAAUGAAGAGAAGCACAUUCAUCCUGAUCUAAAUUGAAAUUCUGUUGCAAGUACUGCACGAACACUUAUUGUUAUUUGCAUACAACAUUAUUUGAAUGAUUUCUUCAUGGACUUUUCUUGCAGAUAUUAAUUGUAAUAUUGCUUUCAUUUAGGUUUAGUUUGCAUUGCAGUGGUUUGUUCACUGAUUAAUAUCAUCUAUAAGUCUCUGACAUUUUUUUUUUUUAAGUCGUGAUGAAACUGAAGCACUGUCUAUGCAGGUUGGCAAUUGGUCUAGAUGGCUUACUGAUAUGUUUGGCAUGGACACUGAUGAUUCUCCUAAAGAAGAUCAAGACUUCACAGAGGAUGAUGAUGGGCAGGAUGGAGUUGGUGAACCUAAAUCCUUUAUUCUUCUUAAUUCUUUUAGUGAUCUUCUGAUGCUCCCAAAAGACAUGCUAAUGGACCGAUCAAUAAGACAAGAGGUUAAUUUUAUAAUUAAAGCAAAUUUGCACUUAGAAUUUAUAAUGUUUGUGUUUUCUGUUGAAUUGAAAGAAUAGCUAGAUUAAACUUUCUAUUGUCAUUCUUUUAGGUGUGCCCAUUGAUUAGUCUUUCAUUGGUUAAACGGAUACUUUGCAACUUUACUCCAGAUGAAUUCUGUCCAGAUGCAGUCCCAGGAGCUGUAUUGGAGGCAUUGAAUGCUGAGGUAUGAGCUUCAGAUCAUAUUUCAUUUUUCAGUCUAUGUCCAUGGAGCUGACCUUUAUUUUUGUGUCUCGUCACACAUAUAUGGAAAUAUUAUGCUUAAAUUUCAUUAUAUUUCACUUUUGUUGAGCAAAAUGGAAUGUAUAAUCAAUUAGCAUUCAUCCAACACUUGAAACCAUCAUUCUUUGGUUUUCAUGAAGAUUUUUUUUUAAAUUUGCCAAUGAUACCUAGUGAAAGUUUGUAUGAUAUCUAGUUUUCUGGGUUUUAGACGGCUAUAGCAUAUAGAAAUAAUAUUACUUUUCUUUAUGUGGCCUUAGAGAUCUUAUAUCACCGAAAAGCAGAGAUAUAAUUGAAAAUGGAGAACAGGCAGUGAUUAAAUUUGUAAUCGGAUUAUUUUUUAUGUAUUUAGAGCAUUAUUGAGCGGAGAUUAUCAGGAGAUUCAGCUAGAAGCUUCCCGUAUACUGCUGCCCCGGUCGAGUACAACCCUCCAUCCUCUUCCGAUGUGGCAGAAAAAGUUGCAGAGGCAGGAGGCAAAUCUCAUUUGUUAAGGAAUGUGUCUUCGGUACAGAGGAAAGGAUACACCAGCGAUGACGAACUCGAGGAACUGGAUUCUCCCCUUUCAUCUAUUAUCGAUAAAUUGCCUCCGUCACCAUCUAUCAUAGCCACCGAAAAUGGAAACGGUAAACACAAGAAUCAUACAUAUUACACUGGCUCAAAUGCGAGGUACGAGCUCCUUCGCGAGGUCUGGUCUUCUUGAAGGUUGACAGUAACUGUGUGUUCAAUAUGUAUAUCUGUGUUGUUUCUUUUUCGUUUACCAUUUUUCUUCAUUUGCACCAUAAGCUAAGAAGAAGCUUGAUAUGAAGACAAGACGAACAGCUGUAAACUGGAAAAAGAACAUAAUAGAUUAAAUUCAAAGAAGUUUCAAAUGUGCAAAAGCUAUUGGUUUUUGUGUGUUGUGGUUUGAGCUUGUAUCAAACAUGUAAGCAGGAGAUUCCACUCUAGGAGUUUUAGCAGUAUCCUACCUUAACUAGCAAGUAAACUGGCUGUUUAUAUCUUUGUAUAUUAGCUAUUUUAACACAUCCAUUAAUGAAUUAAAGUAUCCGACGAUUUGUAACAGUGAGAAGAAUCAGUAAUAAAAGACAAUUAUUAUGCGGUAAAAAUUGUCCAUCAAAUGGUCAAAUGCACAUCAACCCACAAGUUGAUAUGUAGCAAAAGAUUGGGAACUAAUUUCGCCCCUUUUUGGGCAUUGCUUGUAUUGGGCAUUUAUGUUACACGUUUCUCAACCAUAAAAUCAGCUCAUCGUUGAUCAUUCUCAAAUUUUUUUCUUUUGUUUUGUUAAAAAAUAGUUUGUUCAGUAGAAUUUCUUUUAGGAAUUUUUUUUUUAAAUUUUAAUUAAUUUUAUUGUUCGCCUAAAAAUGUUUUUUUUUUUAAAAUCAAAUACUUUGAUAUUUAUUGGCCAAGCAAGAUUUUUCUUUUUUAAUAUUGUAAUCGACAAAAUGCAGGGGAAAGUCUGGUAAAAUAUUUUUGGGAUUAACUAUUUACUGGGUUUACUGAGGCAUGGUUCCUGAAAAAGUAUGAUAUUACUUAAAAGCAGAGCAAAUUGUCUUCAAUAAUAAUUAUAACUGGCAUGUUUGAGUAAAUAUUCUAUCAUUUUUGGAAGGCUUGUCAAAGUGACAGUAAUAGUCAAAGGCAUUGAGUUUUAAUAUCCAACUUUCCUUCCGAAUGUUCAAGUACUCUAAAAUUGAAGGAAAAUCAUUAUGGUCAAAAAAAUAUCUAUAUAUUAGCAAAGAAUCUCAUCUUGCCCAAGGUCCUACGAAUGAAAAAAUAAUAAAAAUAGUAAUAAUCUAAUUAUUUUUUAAAAUCAAUUUUUAAUCCUUAUUUCUCUCUUCGAAUUUGGGUGGUCAUUUUAAGAAAUUAUGCAAUGUAAAAAAAAAAAAAAAUUUGUUCUGUGAAAUAUAAUGUAUUUUUAGGACAGUUAAUAGUGAUAUGGCCCAACAAAAGAAAAGAGAUUAAUUAGUAAAUAAAUUAUUUAUUUUUUAAAAGAGGUAAGAGGGAGAAGAGAUUAAUUACGAGUUAAUUUUUCAACCAUGCACAUGUCCUAAAGACUUGAUGUUAUAUCAUAUAUGUUAAUAAACAACAGCAUUAAUAUUUAACAUGCAGGCAACUUGAAGAUCUUUGCCUUAAAAAACUUGGUUUCAAAAGAGAACCAUUUAGUCAUAAUAAAAGUAAUUUCAUUUAGCAAAGUAGGGAAACAACUACUCAAAUACAAAUAACAGUAAAAAGUUAACGAUCUUAAAUUGAUUAAAGACAGUAACAAUCAAAGUUUAAGAGACAAAUCAAGUCCCGGAUCAUCAUCGUGUUGAUUACUUUGUGAUGAACUAUUUCCCUUUAGACGGUCACCACCGUCAUUGUUUGGCCUUUUUGCUGCCAUGCUUGAACCAUUUAAGUUCCGAAAUUCGGCACGGACGCCACCGUUUUGAGCUUCCAUAACACUCUCCAACCUCAUUUUAUCAUAAGCUAGCUGUGCAUUCAUCACUGUUUUUCCAUGGCCACCGAAACGAUCCCAAAGAGGAACCCAUGGAUAGGAAGGCUUACGAAUCAUUGGCUGCAUGCUAACCCCAAGAGGUGAUGAUCGGUUGAAUAGAGAUCCAUAAAAAUUAGGGUUUUGAUGAGCUACACUUGAUGAAUAAGGAUAAUAAGGAUAAUGAUGAUGCCCUAAAGCCCCCAUAUCCAUUUCCUUGCGUCGUUUUGCUAAUGCUCUCUCUUGUUUAUGUGCGUUUUGGUGUCCCCCUAAUGCUUGAGAAGUAGAAAAAAUUUUGUUGCAAAAAUUGCACAAAAAACCCUUUUGUUUCGGCUGCUUUUUACGUAUGCUUUCGUGGGAAGAUGAUUCAUUUGCUUGAGGAUUAGAAGUACCACCCAUGCUGAAAAGCCUGAGCUCAACUUCAGAUUCAGUAACCGAAACAUUAUCGAUAGCAAUAUUUUGAUUGAACAAAAUAUUGAAUUUUGAUUUGGUUUGGAUCGGCUCGGUUACUUCAGCAACUUGUUUGUUUGGAGCUUCUUGUUGCUGAGAUGUUGCUGAGAUACUAGAGCUCUCUGAGAGGCAUGGUUUCGGGCUACUUUGGGUUCCCAUGGAAUAAUAAUAAUCAUCAAGAUUUUGAGUUUGAAAAAAUGGUGAUGGAAGAGACGUUCUAUAUAUUGAGAGCUCAAUCUUUUUUAUUAUGGAAGGCAAUUAUACGGCGUGAUUCAUGUUAAAUUAAUAUGAGAUAUGGGUGAUCAAGGGGAUGUUUUAUUAAUUAAGAUUUGUUGAACUAUGGAAGGUGAAUCAUAUUGCAUGAUUAAUGUUAAAUUAAACGUGAGAUUAUAUUAGUUAAGCACCCAUGUGAGUGACUUGAAAUUUUGAGUAACAAGAUGUUUUCAUCACAAUUAUCCCAAAUAAAGUCUGAAUAUAAUUAGCAAGUAUGUGUAGCUGUUGCCAAAUGUCUCCAAAUUAAUAAAGAUACAGUUUGAAAAUUCAAAAUGUCAACUUUGAACAGAAGAAAGAAAAUUCUCAUUAAUUUUGGAUUUCAAAUCCAUGAAAUUGACUAUCUUUUAUCGUAAUUUUGCGUGUGAAAUUAAAAUUAUAUCAAAGCAAUGAUGAGACAACUAUGAAUGUCAAUAACCAUUGAUUUUUCUGGUCAGAUUAUAUACCUAAAUCAUCCUAUUUACCUUUAAUUUGGUUCAUCAAGUAAUCAAUUAAUUAUCUGUUACAAUUCCAAUUCCUAAAGUUUAGCUUUUCAUUCCGUUAUUCUUUGAUAUGUUUCCAUGAUAAGAAUCUUCCAUAUUAUCAGUCAUCGUGUAAGUUAAUACUUUGAAUACUUAAUAAUUAAGUUUAAACUGCAUAUUUAAUCAAAUGCAUGCUGACAAUAUGAACACAAUUAAUAUUUGUUGUUCGAGAAACUUAUUUAUAAGCCAUAUUUUGGAUUGAAAAAAAUACAAUAACAUUAGAGAUUCUAACAAUUGAGUCCUAAUUUGAGUCUUAGCAUUACUCUUAACUAACUAAUUUUACACCCCUAUACAAGAAUAUUGCAUUUGCAUCGAAGACAAAAACAUCACAUGAAAAAUGAUAUAGGGUAGUAAAUAUAGAAGUCUAAAUGAAUUAAAAAAAAAAUUCUAUGAUAGAAAGGUGUUAAAAAUUAUGCCACAUAAGUUGUUCCCAUCAUUGGUGAUACACAAUAACUUCUAAGCCAAGGGCAUUUUAUCCACUUAAUUUUGAUUUCACAACAACUUUAAACCUAACAAUUUUUUCACAUUCUGAUGAUGUUUUAAUUUAACAAUAUCGCACGCAUUUAUCCUUAUUUAAAGGCACUAAACUUUCCCCAUAAAUAUUUUCUUGCUUUAAUUUUCCUUGCAGUUUGUUGGCUGUUGCUAACAUUUGCAUUACACAAUUUCAUGUUUCACUCAUGGCUAACUUCGCUUUCCGUUUUCUUACUUGCAAGCCAAAAAAAUAAAAAAAUCUUCUCAUUGAUCCAUUAACCGCAGAGAGCUGGACAAGAGAAUUAAUAUUCGAAAAGUCUCAGUCUCAUCAGUAUUGUUGAUUCACUCAUAAUUGUGGAUGUUCUUGAUAAGGAAAGGAGCAAUAUUGACUGAUGCAGCACAUUUGCUUUCAGAUGUUGCGGAUUUUGCUAUUUAUUUGAGCUCUUUAUCGGCAGAAGGGUACGUGGGAAUCAAAUGGCUCUUGUUCUAGGCCUGCAGGUUCAUGCGAUGACCGUCGUGAUCAUGGUAUUGGCCACACUCAUGGAUUGAGGAUCGUCAUGAUGAAGAGCACUCCAGUGGUGGGCAGCAUCAUCAUCAUCACGAAGAAAAUCGAAAACUGCUUACAGCAAGGGAGAUUGACUCUUGGAAACUAGAAAAAGGGCUUUUGGAGAUGGAGGAUGUGGUGGCCAUUAAUGCAUGAACUGCAUAUAUGGGCUAUCACUGGCAUGCCAUGUCAAAAUUCAACAAUGCGAUUAAUUGACUAUACCAGUAGGAGUAUACAUAACGUUAGGGUGGGCAUCUUGAAGGGUUUUCUGCUACUUCACUCCGUCAUGAUCAUAUAUUAUCACAAAUUACCACAUUUCUACCACUUUUGGUGAUAUUAAAGCAGCAAUUCAUCGCUCCAAAUCAUGUGUUAUUUGUAUUAACUCAUUCUCUUACUAAUAUCAAAAAUUUUAAUUUCACUUGUUAUUUCAAUUUCUAAUAAGAAUAUAUAUAUAAACACUUAUAGAGUCUUCAAAGAGUACAAGUGGAGAUAGGUGUGGGCAAUCAAUUCGGUUCACAAGUGAUUUAAUUAUGUUUUGUUUAAUUUUUAAUUUAUUUUCCAAUCAGCCGGAUACUAAUGACAUUUCGGAGGAUGAUUGACUCAGUCAGCUUUCGGACGAAUUUUCAUCAAACUCAUCUAUACAGCGAACUGGAAGCAAUUAAAAUUCAAAGUCAUCACCAAAAAGGUCUUAAAAAACAAACCUCCAUCUACCACUUCGCGUAGUCUUUUGCUAAAACUAUGCUGGCUCCAUCAUGGCUACUCUUUGAAUUUCCCCCCAAAUGGAUGCCAUUAAGUUGAAACAGAGAAUCUUGGCUUUAUGGAGAUGGGAUUUUUGGAAAGUUUCCAUCCGUCGACAUUUGUUGCAUAUCAAGAAAGUCAUCGAAGGCAAAAUCCUCGUCCUCAUUGCCCAUCAUUGUUGAACAACCCUCCAUAAUUCCAUCACUCGAAACUCCUUCAUUGAUGCUGGAUGCACAUCCACUUCCGUCUGCGCCCAACUGAUGAGUAAGGAAACUAGGAUUAUUAGUUUGCAAGUCAUUUUGAUGGACUUGGUGGGGGAAGUUGCUAGGGUUUUGGUAGCCAUCAACAAAAAGAGAGUUAGGGUUUUCAUAGGCUUUCAUAAGGGAGGAGCUAGGGUAAUCAUCUAGGACCUGUUGGGUGAACUGCUGAUUCUCUCCAUCAUUUAUCAUUGCUACGAGCCCCUCAAGAACUCCAUCAUCACUCGAAAACCCUAGGCCACUGCCUAAAUUUGCAUCAGCAGAAGAGUUAUUAGUUUGAAACUCGUUAGGGUGUUGGUGGCUGAAAGCGUCAAUAGUCAUUUGAUUAACCUGAUUCCUUUGUUCCUCUGAGGAUGCCAAGCUUUGAGAUGAUGAUCCCAAUUGUGGGUUUAUCAUCACUUGAUGAGAGCUAUCUCGUUUUAGACACAAAGUGGGAAGUCUUGAAGUUCUCCUUUUCUUCAUAAUAAGAACAUCAUUCACUGAAUUCUCCUUUAUAAACCUUGAAACACCCUUGCCAAUUGGUAUCUUUUCACUCGCAGUAAUGCCAUUGACAUCAUACUGGCUUUUAUCGAAAUUGGUAAUUGCUUCUACACCUUUAACCCUUAUGGCCGCAAUAUCGUAAGCUACGGCAGCUUCCUCUUCAUUUUCUGAUUGUUUGAACAGAAACAUAUACAUAAUUGGAACAAGUUCAAGAUGAUACAUAACCAAUACUAAUUAUUACCUUUCGGCCAUUAGCUUCAUGAUAUAAAACAAAAUAUGAUGAUUUUUUAAAUUAUAGGACUCACCAAAAGUUCCAAGGUAAAUGGCUUUUGUUUGCUUUGUUUUUCCUAGUCUAGCCUGCCAUUUCUUAAAGUUCGGAUUUCUGCUCAUCAAAAGCAUUACUUAUUGUUUGUAAAACAAAGAUACAGAAGAAUUUCUCUAAUUGAAGAUACAGCUACACAUUACUUAAGUGGCAUAGAGAAACUAUCAGAAUUACCUGGAGACCCCGCGGUAAUCGGAAGCACGUUUCGAGCAAUCUAUAGUUUUUCUGAAAUUUGUCAAGUUAAAGCAAGAUCUUAUAAAUAUAAGUUGAUUCCAUCAAUAUCGAUUGAAGCCUUUGACUUUACUUUCUUUUUCUCUAACAAAAGGCUUACCGUCUGAGAGGGGCCAAAUAUUCUUCCUUUGUCAUGUGUAUCACUUCCUCCAAAUCCUUCUCAUAGUCAUUCAGAUCAUAAUUAACAAAAUAUUUGAAAUAUGCAUGUGUGUGUGGUUUUCUUUAGCACGGACAUUCGUAUUUUUUUAAAAUGUGAAUUCGGGGUUUUAUAAAUUGUAUAUUUCCAAAUCUAAAUUUAAAUAUGCGAAUGUCCAUGUGGGAGAAAUUGUGUCGAUACUAGCAUCAUUUUUUGGGGUGGGUUAGAAUUUUUUUUUUUAAAUUUAAAUUUACUUCUAAAGGAGUUUGUUCUAUACAAACGAUAUUGUUAAAAUACACUACAUAAUAAUAAUAAUAAUAAUAAUAAUAAUACAAUGUAAAUAAGAAAAAUACAAAAAAACCUCAUUUAUUAUGGCAUCUAUGUCAAUAUUAUCUACAAUUUCUCUUUCAAUAUAUACAACUAUAAAAACUGAAAGAAACUCAUUCUUUCUCUUUCAAUAUAGUGCCCGAAUAUUCUUCCUUUGCCAUAUGUAUCACUUCCUCCAAAUCCUUCUUAUAGUCAUUUCGGAUCAAAAUUAACAAAAUACUUUAAAUGUGUAUAUAUGUGAGUGUAUCAUGGGCGAACCUCCAUAUGUUUUAAAAUAUGAAUUCGGAAUUCUACAAUGUUGUAAAAUUCUAGAUCCAAAUUCUAAUAAAUACGGAUGUGCGCAUGAUAAAUGAACCUAUGACAUAUAUAAAACAUACAAAUUAAGAAGUCUCUUGGAGGGAAGAAGACCAAACUGAGACUAUCUAAGACCAAAUCCUGACGUGCAUGAUCAACUUGCAUAAUAUGAUCAAGGCUAAGGGCUUCCACUAAUAUCUUGUAAAAUAUUUUAAUUAUAUGGCAGAAACAAAAGCCCUACUGCAACCCAAAACUGUUCGCGAAGCAAUUAAGAUUGAAAUAUUCAAAUUAUAUAGCGUAUAUAAGUUUAAAUAAUUUAAGCAAAGCUAUUGGAUUUAUUAAUAUACAGUCUCACUGAUCAAAUUAAAUACAUACAUAAUUAAUUUAUAGUCUAUGACUUGAAGGAAGCAAUCGUAAUUUUUAAAAUACCAUUAUCAUCAGCAUGAUGAAUUGAUAAAUAUCACCACUGAUUGUACAGAGAAAAUGUACUAAAAUUAAAUAAAAUUGUACAUACCUCAGCUAGUAGGCUAGGACAAGGAUCUGCUCUCCGUCACUCCCCAAAUUCAAACCCUAAUAAUCUGAAAUUGAGAAGAAAUCACAUAAAAAAGAAAGAGGAAAAAAAAGGAAGCUACUUAUUUCAUCACUGUGCAUGCAAGAUAUAUAAUUAAAUUAGUUCAGAAAAUUAAGAAAAACUUAAUUAACAAAUUAAACUAAGGAAUUUACAGAUCACUUCACUGCUAAUUAACCAGACCAGCUUGAAAACUUCUGCAACCGGCUUAAUCUAUCUGUGUUCUCCAAAUGUUAUUUGUUUGUGAGUUGUAUCAUUACAAAUAUAAAAAAGUGUGAUUUUUAGAAGAGUCUUAAAGUGAUAACAAGAGACUGAUUGUGAUAACCAUAAUUAGUUUUUUUUCUUUUCUUUUUGAUAAGCUUAACCAAAAUUAGUUUAAUUGCAUUAAAUUAUACAAUUAAAUUAACUCGCCAAAGCAAAAUGAGGGGCCCACAACAUGUCAUCUUUGUAGUAAUAAAUAUAUAAUAAAAAUAUAAUACACACUGCUCAAAGUUGGUAUAAAUUGAAAACUUCAACUACGAAGACUGGGGCUAUUCAAAUCCCUCAUUUUUAUCUCAUCAAACUAUAGUUAAGUUUUAUAUAAAAUUCUGAAAUUAACUAUUUUAUAGUGUUACACAAUGAGUGCUAGUUAGUUUAGUUGAUAAAAUAUUAAAAUCACUUAAAUAGAAAAUAUACACUAAAUAGGGUUACCAAAGUGGGAGAAAAAAAUAGAUUUAUUUUACCACACUAAAUCCCGAAACUACCCCUAUAACCACCAUCUAGUUUACCCAGCACUGCAACAGUAAUUAAUCUCUUUGCCCCAACCGAAAUCUUUAAUAAACCAAGCCAAAUCUCUUCAUGAAUCCACUGCUGCAAUCAACUAAAAAAUUUCCUUGGCAUUGUAAAGUUAUCUGGGUAAAAUAUUUUAGGAGAAGUAAUUUAUAAGCCUCUGAUCAUAUUAUUUAUUGAACAAGGCUAGCUCCGUAUAGACACAAAUUUCUCUGUUUGUGCAAAAUUUUCGAGCCUCGAAAACUGAGAAAAUCACUUCUGCGGGCUGUAACCGAAAAAUAAAAACCAAAAAAAAAAAAAGUUCAAGAAAAGCUCAAAGUUUUGGUGAUCCAGAGUAAAACCCAUUUAACUUUCAAAAUGUUCUUAUAACUACAGAAAUUAAAAGGAAAACAAUCAUGAAGUUCUCAUUAUCCGGGUUGACAGUAAAUUCUCAUAUUCUUUUUGUCCUUGAAGUAAUUUUAUUUACUAUAAAAUAGUAAUCAAUAAAAUAUUAUAACGAGUAGGGAUGACAAUGGGAUGGAGUGGGUGUUGGAAAACCUAUCUCAUUCCCCACCCCAUUUCCCAAUAAAUUUAGUGAGGUGGGGAUGGGGAAGUCCCAUGUGAGAAAUUAUAUUUCCAUCCCCACCAUAUUCCCCAUUUAUAUAUUUAUAGUAGGUAUAGAUAUAUAAUUUUAGUAAAUUAAAAAUUAGAGACUUAAAAUAAAAUCAUCACCAUAUUAUAAAGUAUUUUAAUUAUUUUAAAAAAAUCUCUAAAAGUUUGAAAUAAUAUCUUAAAAUGAUAUCAAACUGAAAAAUAUUUAAAGAUAAUAGCACUUUAAAAGAGAAAAGAAAACAUAACAAUGUUUUAGAGUUGAAAAAGAAUUAUAUUGUAGGGUUUUCUUUUAUUCAUAACAUGUUUAUAUUACAUAAAAUUGAAAAAAUUAUUAAUUGACAUCAUAGUUGAUAAAAUAAAAAUUAUUAAAUAAGAAUUAAAAACAUAUUUAUAUAUAAUGGAGAUUAGGGUGGAGAGUACAAAACCAAACCCCCACUCAUUAAAAAUUUAAGGAUUAUUUUUCCCCAAUUUCUCAAAAAUUAUUUAAAAUUUUCCCCAUUUGGGGUGGGGCUCCAUGAAGCCCCAAACCCGUGGAGGAUUUUGCCAUCCCUAUCACAACUUAACAUGUGCAAUUUCAUACAGUUACAAAUAUCUUGACUGCUAUAAGAAACUUGCUAUUGCCAUUAGUGAACAAACUUCAGGGCCUGUACUUUCCGCAGCUCUAGGUGAUACAAUUAUUAUCAAUGUUUGUGUGUGUAAACAAUCAAUAUAAAACUUUAAAGAUUUUAUUUAUAGAAGGCUUCAAAAAUCCUAUAAUUAAAAUUUAUAUAUACUGAACGAGCACUGAGACGUAUACUACUUAACGAACACUAACACGCUUACUGAAUAAAACAAUUAAGUUAGAAUUAUAGCAAAUUAAGUAUGUGUGUGUGUGGAGAGAGAGAGAGAGAGAGAGAGAGAGUGAGGGAGAGAAAGUGUGUGGAUAUAUACAUAUAUAUAUAUAUACAUAUCGACUACUAGAUUUUAAAUUUCCUGUGGUUCGAUCCCGGACUCACCGAGUUAUAUUAUAAUUAGACAUUUUUAUACUUGGGAGUAAUAACACUUUUAAGUCGUGUUAAAUUUUUAGCGCCGUUGCCAGAGAUUUUCUAAAUUUUGUGUCAGUUUGUCUUUAUUUAUUUAUUUUUUGUUAUUAUUAUUAUUAUUAUUAUUAUUAUUUUGUUAGUUUCUUUCUCCGUUAUUCUAUUUCAUUCUCUCUUUAUGAAACUUCAGUUAGCACCCCUCUUUUCUUAAAAUUUUAACAUUAUCCAUAAAAUUUGUUAAAAAGUUCCUUUUAGCCCAAAAAUGUUUGCAAAUCAAACACUAAAACUGAAUUGGAACUUGGAUAUUUGGACUUUGCCUUAUUCGUUGGACUUUUGGACUUUGUGGACAUAACGGGCAUGGACUUAGACAUUUAAAAUAGCAAUUAAGAUGCAAUAAUUAAAAUUUAAUUGGCUGGUAAAUUUUAAAAAUUAAAAAAAAAACACAUUUUUUUCUUUCUUUAAAUUUAUGGAAUUCAUUUUUCACAUUUAUUUUUAAUGGUCAGUUCUACCGCCUGAUUGUUAUUUAAAUUUUGUUAAUUUAUUUUUUAUAUGGUCGGUUCUACCGCCUAUCAUUUUAAUUCUAGUUUAAUUAUUCUUGUACAUUAAUUUGUGUAAUUUUUAUUUUAUGUUUUAUGGCUAGUUUUAAAAUAGCACCUAAAUUGUUUCCUUUAAUUUCUUUGUUUUUAUGGCUGGUUUAACCACCUAAUAUUUUAAUUUUAAUUUGUUUAUUUUUAUUUCAUAUUUUUAAUUUAAUUUUCAAUUUACUUUUAUUUAUAUAAUUUUCAUUUAGUGUUUUGUGCAUCACUAAUUUGUUUAACACACAUCAUUAGCAUUGCAUGUGACGUUGGUCUCGUACAGAUAGUGGUAGAUUAAUUAAGAAAUCAUAUUCACCACUCUUAAAUAUGGCUGACAUUGGAGUUGAUUAUUCUUCAAAGCACGAAGAUAAUCAAACCUUGCAAAAUGUUCAUGAACAGCUCAAGACCCUUAGAGACUUUACACAUCCUACUAGAAUAGGGUCACCAUCAUGUAUAAUUUUUCCUCCUAAUGCAUCACAUUUUAAUUUCAAACAUAGUAUCAUCCAACUUCUACCUACUUUUCAUGAUUUUGAGUCUGAAAAUCCAUAUAUGCAUUUGAGAGAAUUUGAGGAAGUUUGUAACACCUCUACUGAUUAAAAUUGUAGCAUGAACAUAAUCAAGCUUAAGUUUUCUCAUUCUCACUAAAAGAUAAAGCUAAAACUUGGCUACAAAAUCUUAGAUCAGGAUCUAUCAGAAUUUGGGAUGAAAUGCAAGCACAAUUUUUGAAAAAAAAAUUUCCACCCCACAGAAUAAAUUCUUUUAAAAGACAAAUCACCACUUUCACUCAAAAACCAGGAGAAACUUUUUACCAAUAUUGGGAUAGGUAUAAAGAGCUACUUAACAUUUGCCCACACCAUGGUUUUGAAAUAUGGAGAUUAAUGUCUUAUUUUUACGAGGGACUAACAUCCUAAAAUAGACAGGUUGUUCAAAUGAUGUGUAAUGGUGAGUUUUGGGAUAAAAAUCCUGAAGAUAUAUUAGAUUAUCUUGACUUUAUAGCAGAGAAUGCACAACACUGGGAUACAAUUGAGUUUUAUGUGUCAUCAAGUAAAACUCAAUUAGGUAGAGGCAUGUACAACCUUAAGGAAUACCAUGACCUUCAAGCCAAAUUUGCAUCCUUAGCUAGAAAAGUCGAAGCAUUAGAGUUCAAAAAGAAUGAUCAUGUAAAGUCAAUUCAAAAUAUUUCAUGUUAUGUUUGUGAUUCUACUGACCAUUCUAUCAGUACUGUCUGACCUUACUAGCUCUGAGAGAAAGUUUACACGAAUAAGUAGAUGUCGUCGAAAAAUUCAAAAAGCCAAAUCUCAAUCCAUACUCCCAAACUUACAACUUUGGUUGGAGAAACCACCCAAAUUUCAAUUGGAGAAAUGACAAUCACGCACAACCAUCACAACCAGCUCCUCCACACCAAAAUUUCCAAAACCCCCAGAGUUACCCACUAUAUGUUCCACCACCAAGAAAAACUCUAGAAGACACAUUGCAUUUGUUCAUUGAAAAAUAAGAGUUGAUCAAUAACCAAAUGAUGCAAACCUUAACCAAUUUAACAAAAAUUGUCUCCAAACUUACGUCUGCUCUGACCAUGCAUGCAAAAGGAAAAUUUACUGCUUAACUUGAACCAAACCCCAAGAGUUAACAACAUCCUCAAAUGGGUAAUUUAGGAAACCAAAAUAUGAGUCAAGUCAAAUCAGUUAUAACCCUUCGUGGUGGUAAAGUUGUUGAAAAACACAUUUGAGACCCUCAUGAAACUAAUAAAGAUCAAUUUCAGAAAAUAGGGAAAAGUCUGUCGAACAUUUAACCUAUGAAGAAAUAAUCAACUCCCCUCAUGUACCCCCAUUUCCUCAAGCACUAAUCAAGUCAAAGAAAUCAAACCAUAGUCCAAAAAUUUAUGAAGUUUUUAAACAAGUGAAGGUCAACAUUCCUUUGUUUUAGAAAGGUGUAAAGAAAAAAUACUAGUUUUAAAUUAGGAAAAAUGUCAUUUCAUGACCACUUCUGGAAUUGUCUUGGGUCAUGUCGUGUCUUCAAAAGGAAUUGAAGUUGAUAAAGCUAAAGUUGAAGUUAUCUCAAAAUUACCUUCACAAAAAUUAAUUAGAGCAGUUCAUUUUUUUUUAGGACAUGCAUGAUUUUAUAGGAGGUUUAUAAAAUACUUUAGUGUCAUAUCUAGAUCACUUUGUAAUCUUCUAAUAAAAGACACACAUUUUGAAUGGACUAAAGAUUGUCAACAAGCUUUUGAAAAAAUAAUUAUUCUUUUGACAUAAGCUCCAAUAAUGCAAACCCCUGAUUGAUCUUUACCUUUUGAGCUAAUGUGUAAUGCUAGUGAUUAUGUUGUUGGUGUUGUUUUAGGACAAAGAAAAGAAAGUAAGCAUUUUGUUAUCUAUUACGCAAGUAAAACUUUGAAUAAUGUGCAAAUGAAUUACAUCACAACUGAAAAAGAACUAUUUACUGUAAUAUUUGUACUAGAUAAAUUUUGUUCGUAUUUAAUUUAUUCAUCUACCAUUGUUUAUUUUGAUCAUGCUGCUGUUAGAUAUUUAAUGUCUAAACAGGAUGCUAAGUCAAGGUUGAUACGAUGGGUUUUACUACUUCAAGAAUUUAAUUUGACAAUCAAGAAAAAAAUACGCUGAAAAUGUUGUUGCAGAUCAUCUUUUAAGACUUACAAAUUAGUCUUCAAUUGACACAACAUCCAUCAAUGAUUCUUUCCCUAAUGAAUUUUUGUUUUCUAUAAACAAAAUGCCUUGGUAUGCUAAUAUUGUUAAUUAUCUUGCAACAGGUGAAAUGCUAUGUAAAUGGAGUUCCCAAGACAAGAAGAAAUUCUUAAUAGAAGUGAAAAGUUUUUACUAUGAUGACCCAUACAUGUUCAAGUAUUGUUCUGAUCAAAUUUUUCGAAGAUGCAUACCAGAUGAUGAGGUCAUGAAUACCUCCAUGAGAAUGAUCCUUUUCAAAUAUCUUCGAGAACUCUUACAUGUAAAAUUUCACCUCAAAAGCUUGCUCUGAGUUUGUAAAUCACAUCCUAUUUGGGAUUUACGACCACCAGCAUUAGUAUCUCAUUUUGAAAAUCUAGAAAGACAACUUAGGGAAAUAAAGGGUGGUAUUCAUGAACUCUAAUUGAAACUUGAGGUAAAUUUAAUAAAAGGACGAAGGUGAGUUAGAUAUUUGAUUAUAUUUAUUGUGUGUUUUUAUUUUGUUGUUCUCCUUCACUUUUAAUUUGAUUUUACAGAUUUGAUUCGUUUCUUUGAUAUGCUUUGAUUCACUCUUCUAUAUAAAUAAUGGAUAACGGUACUUCGUGACUUUUUAAGUCAGUAUUUUCAGUUUCCCACAAUCACUGAACCCCAAAAUUAAGCAUGGAAGAAAUACAACAUAAAUUGCAUAAGCGUUUCCUUCUCUCCCUGAAAAUGAUCUAAAGAAGUUUUGCAAAGAUCGUUGUGAACGACUGCAUUUGUUAAUGAUCAAUGGGAUUCUUGCUGACAUUCGUUGGUUAAUUGAAGAAAAUGUCUAACUGGCAAGUGAGUUUUCUAAUCCAUUUGUUUUCUACAUGUCUGGUUUUCGUAAAAGCACAUUUGCUAUAAAAAAAAAGAGCUAAGUGACUUGGCUUUAAAUGUCCUUACUGUGUAAGACUUGCUUGCAACAAACCACGUUGUAAAACUUUGGGAAUGGUUUUUGUAAAUCGUGAAAAUAAAAUCAAAUUCAUUAAGGAUGACAUGAGUAAGAAUCGUUAGAUAAUAUUUUACAAUCUCUUGAGAUGCAUCCGAGCGGAUAUGUGGAACGUGAUAUUCAUAAUUUAUGAAAGCUGUUCCAAAAUGAAAAUGCAUAUUUUAGUCUUAGGAAUUUGACUCUAAAAGACCUUGUUUGCCAGUUUAGAGCGGAUAUGUGCAACGUGAAAUUCAUAAUUUAUGGAAGUUGUUCCAAAAGGAAAAUACACAGUUUUGUCUUGAGAAUCUGACUCUAAAAGAUCUUGUUUGACAGUUUAUAAGAAAACUGGAAAUGAAGCAUAUCAUCGACUCAUAGAGGGCGUUCAAGCCGUUACUGGACGUAAAAGUAUAGGAAGAUGUGAGCCACAAUCACAACUACCAGUAAAUAUCCUUUUAUUUUACUGUUCUUUUAUCUUUUGCAUUAUUAUUUUUUUUUUUUGUGAUUUUGUCUAAUCACUGUUUGCUUUUUCUUUUUACUUUUUUUUUCUAUUUACUUUUGAAUUAUUGAGCCAAAUGCUUCACCUGUCAUUUGACAAACACACUACCCCAUUUACAGAUGUGUAUGAUUGUGUCCGUCACCAAGUCAUUUGACAAACUCACUACCCCAUUUACAUAUGUGUAUCAUUGGUCCGUCACCAAGAUCCUUAAAUAGGAGCUCCUUUUCAAGUACUCACAAAUUGUUUCUUUUUAGAAUUGUUCUAAUGACAGCAACUUCAAACAGACAACUUAAGAAUAUUUGUGUGCUUUAUAGAUUUCGCUAUAGAAAGUAUAAGGAGUUCGUUCAAGCAGCCAUAAAUCUUGAUCGUACUAUAACACAGACAAAAGUACACCUUGUAUAUGAAGGAGGUGACCGAUGGUUAUCAAAGCUUGUCUUAGAAGAUGUUUUCGUUCGAGAAAGCCAAGUGCUAUGCAUUAUUCCAAAAGCCUUAAAACUUUUAGGAUGUCUACCCAACUCACCAACUGUAGAAGAGUUAGUUAUCUCAAGUAUGCAAGAAAGAAUGUCUGAAAUGUUAAAUCAUGCUGACGCUCUCAUUUUCUUGCUCGGAGAUUUUGCAACUUCAGAGGCACUAAUUACAUUUGUUUCUUAGGCCCAUUUAAAUAUCCAUAAAAAACUCAUCGGUUUGUUAAAUGUUAAUAACGUUUAUGAUGACUUAAUAACAUUUCUUAAUCAUGUAAUUAAAAAUUAUUUCAUUCCACCCUCAGUGAAAAAAUUCUUUAUUUGUGCUCUUACUGCUAACGAGUUAUUUGAUCUUUUGCAAGCUUACAAACCAGAGCCAGAUCCCAUGACUUUGGCAUUGGAUUAGACAACUGAUGAUGAUGGCAGUAACCCUCGAAAAAAGUGUAAAUUAUAUUUAACUCCCUGUUUCUAAAUAUUUUCUAGCAGUGGUCAGGUGAUAUCUUCUAAACUCAACUCUUUCUUCUAAAACAUUUAGGGCAAUGUCUCCUUCAGGUUUGGGGGAGGGAAUAGUUGACAAUUGUGGAAUGUCUCAAUCUUGGUAAUGUUUUUAUUACUUUUUAUUGUAAAGACUAACUUUGGAUAAAAAUUUGAGUCGAAGAUGACAAAUAUAGAAUGUAAUAUCUCUAUAAACACAUCUUCUUAAUUUUAGAGUUUUAUUUCUCCAAAAAAAAAUUAUUUUUUUCUAACUUUGUUUUCUUUUUCUUUUUCUCUUUCUCUUAAUCAUCUUCUUUAAGUUUCUACAAUCAGUCCUAAUUUUUUUAGUGUUUUCUUUAACUUUAAAAAAAAGCAAAAAUACAAAACAAAUAGUUUUUCUUUUUAUGUGUGAUCUUUUAACAUUGAAUAACAUGAUGAUUUCCAAAUUUUGGUAUUUGUAUUAUCUUUGACCUUGAGUUAUGUUACACCAUGUUUUCCCUUUUGCAUGUUAAAAUGUAAAUUGACAAAUUUUAUGAGUGAAACUGAUUAAAUCAUUUGGAGGAAUGUAUAUUUUAUGAUAAGUUCAAGUAAUUUUUUAAGCCUAUUAUCCUUGGAGAGUAACAUUGUUUGCCUAUACAACUUCACAUUUUAUUAUACAAGAUCUCUAUAUUUUCCUCAAAGCAAAAAAAAAAAGGUCAAAAAAAUUUAUAGCCGCAUCUAAAAGUCCAUCGAACUAGUAGAUGUGAAAGAUUAUUUAGAGCCCUAAAAGAUAACAGAAGACCAUCUUUGAUCCGUUUGAACAUUUUUACCCAACCCUAUUAUAAAAUAUCCAUAAUUAACCCCUUUGAGCCUAUUAAAAAAAAUUGGUAACCUAUAAUCUUCUCUCACUUCAAUGUGGAGUAUCACCUUAUAUUUUAUAUUUUCUACUACCCAAUUAUGAUUGAAAAUAUGGAUGAUUAUGCAGUCCUGAUAACGGUGCUAUGAAAAAAAAAGAUAUGUAUAUAUAAAAAUAAAUAAAUAAAAUUAAAAAAAUGAAAAGAAAAAAAUCCCAAGCGAAAAGCACCUUUUAAUUUCAAAAAGUCUCAUAUUUUUCAAAUAUAUAUUUUUUGUUUUUCCUGUUACCAUUUCUUUGUUAGCCAUGACCCUAGCUUAAGUUACAUCCUAAUUAAAGUCCUUAUUUAUUUUAGGGAAUUAUGGUUUGAAAUAAAAGCUGAUAAUACGGACUAAAAGAUGUGGUGAUACAUAAAAAUAGAAAUAAAUUAGUUUGGCUAAUAAUUCCCUUGAGUUGAGAUCAUUUUAUUUGUAAGUUGUAGACACUAUUCUUUCAUCUUGGUGAGAGCGUGUGAUAUUGUUUUGUUAUUCUCUCAAUCUACAACUUCUUAGAGUGACAAUUUUUCUGAGGUCUAUUUUCUUUUAAGAGAGUCACUCUUAACCGUGAGGUUUUGGGGUUUGAUUUAUCAUUCUUAAAAGUAGCUUGAUUAAUAUAGCUCUGAUAAUUGAUCAUUUUACAUGAUUUUACUUAACUGAUUUGUGUGAGUGUGAUUUUCUUUAGACUGAACAUAAUGCUCAUACUUUUAUUUGAUUAUUUUCAUUAAUUCAAUGAAAGAAGUAAACACAAUCUUUCAGGAAAAAAAAAUAUUUCAAUUUGGGUUUGAACUUUUGCUAAAUUUUUAUCGUUUAAAUUGCUAGGGUCUAGCAAUAAGCUGGUUGGGGAAUGUGAUUAACACUUAAAAGUGUACAUGUAAUAAAGAUAAAAUUAAUAGUUUUUCACUUAAAGUGUUGAUUAAUAUGCUCAUUAUUUUUAAAUUAUCUUAACACUCCCCAAAUAUAUAUUUUUAUGUUAAAUUAAUUCACAAUAUAUUAAUUUUUAUGUUGUAAAUAUUUUUCAGGAAUAAAGAUGAAAUUGGAAUUGAAAGUAGGAACAAAUAAGAACUGUUGAAGCACAAUUGAGGAGUUGUAAUUAAUAAAAUACAAAAUAAAAUAAAAUAAAAUAAAAAGGGUGAGUAAGCAUGCUGGUGAUGGUCACCUGACCAUCACACCUCUCUGUAUAUAUAUAUAAAGAGGAUACAUCCUUUACCAAUAAAAGGCAAGGGGAUGCAAGCGGGAGGGGGAGCGGAGGAGAAGAAACGGAGUGAAGUUGAGUGAUUUCUUUCUUUCUUUUCUUUUUUUUUUGUUUUCUUCUGUAUUAAUUUUCUUGUAAUACAUUCUAAAAGUUUUUCAAUGUCAAAUAAUAAAAAGAGUAUUUUGUUUUCUUUCAAUAUGAGUGCCUAUUUUUACUAAGUUAAGGUGAAAGGUGAAGCGUAAGUUUUUAAAUCAUUAAAUUAAUUAUUUUCUCAAGUGAGUUUUUAGUUUAUUUUAUUAUUUUCUGGUUAUUUUUAUGUCAUGUUAAUUUAUAGAUUUACUUGGAUCUGUAUGAUAUUUUGACAUAAUAUCGACACAUUAAUAUAGUUGUGGCACAUUAAAUACUUGAUUUCAUAUUUUUCCACUCAUAGUUAAUUAAAAAUUAAAUGACAUAAUAAUUAACUGGUAAAAGUGAGGGAAAAUAUAAAAAUGAGAGAGUAUUUAAACUAUAGUAUGAAUACUAAGAGUGGAUCCCGUAACUUUAGCAUAUUUUUAAAUUGAUUUCUAGUGAUUUCUUUUCCCGUAAUUAAUUUUCUUUAUUUAACAAAUCGACUAUUAAAUUUUAAAUUCUCUUUGGUUCGACCUCGGACUCACCGGGUUAUAUUAAAUAUUUUUCAGGAAUAAAGAUGAAAUUGGAAUUGAAAGUAGGAACAAAUAAGAACUGUUGAAGCACAAUUGAGGAGUUGUAAUUAAUAAAAUACAAAAUAAAAUAAAAUAAAAUAAAAAGGGUGAGUAAGCAUGCUGGUGAUGGUCACCUGACCAUCACACCUCUCUGUAUAUAUAUAUAAAGAGGAUACAUCCUUUACCAAUAAAAGGCAAGGGGAUGCAAGCGGGAGGGGGAGCGGAGGAGAAGAAACGGAGUGAAGUUGAGUGAUUUCUUUCUUUCUUUUCUUUUUUUUUUGUUUUCUUCUGUAUUAAUUUUCUUGUAAUACAUUCUAAAAGUUUUUCAAUGUCAAAUAAUAAAAAGAGUAUUUUGUUUUCUUUCAAUAUGAGUGCCUAUUUUUACUAAGUUAAGGUGAAAGGUGAAGCGUAAGUUUUUAAAUCAUUAAAUUAAUUAUUUUCUCAAGUGAGUUUUUAGUUUAUUUUAUUAUUUUCUGGUUAUUUUUAUGUCAUGUUAAUUUAUAGAUUUACUUGGAUCUGUAUGAUAUUUUGACAUAAUAUCGACACAUUAAUAUAGUUGUGGCACAUUAAAUACUUGAUUUCAUAUUUUUCCACUCAUAGUUAAUUAAAAAUUAAAUGACAUAAUAAUUAACUGGUAAAAGUGAGGGAAAAUAUAAAAAUGAGAGAGUAUUUAAACUAUAGUAUGAAUACUAAGAGUGGAUCCCGUAACUUUAGCAUAUUUUUAAAUUGAUUUCUAGUGAUUUCUUUUCCCGUAAUUAAUUUUCUUUAUUUAACAAAUCGACUAUUAAAUUUUAAAUUCUCUUUGGUUCGACCUCGGACUCACCGGGUUAUAUUAUAACUAAACACUCUUACACUUGGGAGUAAUAACACUUUUGAGUCGUGUCAAUGUAUAAUAAUUAUUAAUUAAAUUAAAUAUUUAUUCACAGCUGAUCAAUAAGAAAAGCACAGGCAAUGAAAAGUUUGAGGAAAAUAACUUCACUGUUAUUUAUUUGAAAUAGCCCUAAGGCCUAAUUUUUAUAAAUAAUUCAAGCACAUAAAGUAUACACAAUUUGUUAUUAAGAUGCUAUUAUCACUAUGAAAACGAUAAGCAAAUAAAGAUGGGAUACAAAUUUUGUAUCCCAAUUUUCACAUAACCGUCAUCAUCUUAUGAGAUCAUGCGAUUAGUAACCACUCAAUCACAUCACUUCUUAUCAAAUGGUGAAUUUUAAUUGGUAUCACAUUAAUUGAAAUUCAAACGAUGUAUCUUAAUUUUGUAAGUGUAUCACAACUCUAAACCGGUUGUGUUACUAAAAAUCGAGUGGCCACCGGGCGUAGAAGACCUAUGUGAUUACUGAUGCAUCUCGAACUCUUCAGGGACAAUGUCAUGGGCAAUAUCUAGAUGACAUGAACAAGCGGCAAUAAUAAAAUACACUGUAACAUUCUUGCAUUGCUAUUGAUCAAAAUUCCAAAACAAUUUUCGUGAAGGACAGAGAAAGCCAUGCCCAAGAACAUUCAAAUAAUGCAAAAUCAAGUUGGAUUUACAUACAAGGCAAACCAAAAAAAAAUAAAAAUGAGGCAGUAUUUUAGUGCAUUGUUCACAGAGGAAUUGAGUGCUCCUGCGAACUAGAGAGCUCGAUACUCAGAAGACUAGUCCUUGUGCUGAGGGACUGAAGUGCUUUCACUACUUCAAACAUUGAUGGUCGUUUUUCAGGCAUCACAGAAGUGCAGCGCAGAGCGAUUUCCAGUGCUCCAAGCAUCUGUUGCUGAUAACAGUUCGCUAUCUUGGGGUCUAGAACUUGGAUUGCCCCAUUGGUUAUGUUGAUUUUUCUACGAACCCACUUCACAACGUCAAGAGACUCUGCUGGCUCAGCUUGCUCAGCUUGUCGGCCAGUUAUGAGCUCUAAUAACACAACACCGAAGCUGUAUGCAUCCAUCUGUGCAGUUGCUUUCUUACUGUAUCCAUAUUCUGCAAGCAAAAAGAAAAUUUAGUAAUGUUGCCAUUUCAGUUUAGUCCCCUGCCUAUUUAGGAAUGGCUAGUUUAGGAAGUAACAGUGAGUUAUCUAAUAUAUUUAAUAGCAACCUAAGUUUUCCUAUAAGCCUUCAAAUUCGUCUUUUACAUACAUUCGCAUUAAAAAUACAGCAAUUGAUACAACAAUGUUGGAAGAAAUGAUGCAUAACGAGUUGAAAAAAAAUAUGUAUGAGAUCUUAAUUAUACCUGGUGCAUUGUAACAGGAGAGUGCAUAUUCUGAAGACAUGGUUGAUUGAAAUGCAGCUUCUCCCACAAUUCGGUCAAGAGCAAAAUCUGUGAGCUUUGGUUCAAAAUCAGCAUCCAGGAGAAUAUUUUUGGACUUAACGUUUCUAUGAAGUAAAUGUGGAACAUAAUCCUUGUGAAGGUAUGCCAAUCCCUGAGCAACCCCAAUGGCAAUUUUCAAUCUAAUACUCCACUGCAACUGAAAAUCCUGCCUGCAAAUCAAAUCGCCUAAGCUCCCCAUUUGUAGAAAUUCGUAUAUCAGAAAGAUUGAUUCAUCCGAAUGAAAAAACCCCAGAACUUUAACAAUGUUCUUAUGCCUGAUCUUGGCUAACGUCUUCACCUCAGUCUUCAAAGUUUUCGAAGAUUGGCAUCCAAAAUUGACCAGCUUCUUAACAGCAAUUAGCUCGCCACUUGGUAGGCUUAAAAUGUAAACUCUACCAAAAGGUCCAGCACUUCCCGCAGCACUUUUUUCGUCCAUCCCAAUCACCAAAUCAUGUUCAGUGACUCUGAGUGGAUAAAAGAACAGUGAGCGCCAAACACCUGCUUGAGAUUUCUUCUUGGAAUAUCGAUGAAACACAAAAAACCCAGCAGCAACCAUCAUAAUUCCAACAGCAAAUGCUAGAGAAAUCAUCACACAUGCCAAUGCUGUGAGGCCAGAAGUACGAUGUUUUGGCUGAUUUUCGUCGCAAGAAUUUGACAACCCAGGGCCACAAAGUCCAGGAUUCCCUUGCAAGUACGAUGCUGGGAGACCUGAGAUCAAGGAGUAGGGGACUCUACCAGAUAGUUUGUUAAAGGAUACAUUAAACAGGGCAAGCUUCAAGUUCUGAAGCCCCUGCGGUAUUGGACCCGUCAGAUUGUUAUCCGACAGAUCAAGGUAAGUUAACACAGGCAAUUCAGCUAGGGAUGGGGGGAUUUCUCCGGUAAGACUAUUGUCUGCUAAUGACAACGAGACUAGUUUCCUACACUUUUUCAGCUCCGGAAUUUGACCCGAAAUUGAAUUCUGGGAGAGAUUAAUGAUACUCAUGACAGGGGAAUCACAAAAGUUUGGAGGAAGUGAACCAUAGAAACUAUUCUGAGAGGCAGAGAAUCUGUAUAAGCUCUUAACUGACCCAAGACCCUGAGGGAUGCUACUAGUGAAUCUAUUGUUAUCAAUUUGAACUUGCUCCAGUUGAGCAGCCAUAGAUAUUGAAUCUGGUAUUGCUCCGGAAAAUCUAUUGCUUUCAGCUCUGAUGAGCUUAAUCCUAGGUAGUGACCAUAAUUUAUCAGGGAAAUCACCAGAAAAGCCAUUGUCUUGAACCUGGAACCUCUCAAGAUUCAAGCAUUCAUUAAUGGAACCAGGGAUUGAACCGUUGAAAAAAUUUUUAUGGAGACUAAGGUUUACAAGGCCAUUUGCUUUGCAAAUACCAUUUGGGAAUGAACCUGAAAGCUUGUUCUGAGAAACAUCAAAAGACACUAAUUUCAACAGAGAAGAGCCAAGGGAUUGAGGAACCUCACCGGUCAGAUUAUUCUGUGAAAGGUCCAAAAUGGACAAACUUUGCAACCCCACAAAAGAAUCAGGAAUCACCCCAUGAAAACCAGAGCUUUGCAGAAACAGCUGCUCAAGCUUCUCAAGCUUGCCAAUAUCACUAGGAAUUUCACUCAUCAAAUAUGCAUUUUGUGACAAAUCAAGAACAACAAGCUCACUAAAAUUCCCAAAAACAAAAGGCACACUACCCGAAAGCAAGUUGCUUCCCAAGUUGAGAACCUGAAGAUUCACCAAUGAGCCGAUGCUCUCUGGGAUCUUUCCUUCAAUAUGGUUUCUGCUCAAAUCAAGAACUUUCAAAGAACCAAACUGAGAAAUCUGAUCUGGGAUAGUACCCCAAAUGAGAUUAUUACUAAGAUUCAAAGUCUCCAAAGAGCUACACUGAGAAAGAUGUAAAGGUAUAGGCUGGUUAAAGAGAUUGUCAGCAAGGUUCAAGUUACUGAGACUAGAAAGCUCACAUACUGAAGAUGAGAUUUCACCAGAAAGAUUCAGACUUUGAAGAUUGAUGGAAGCAACAGUAAGUGAAGCUGUGGCAGUAGUAACACAAGUGACCCCAGUCCAGUUACAGUAGUGAAUGUUCGAAGUAUUAGACCAGGUUGAAAGAGAGUUCUUGGAGUCAUCAAUGGAGGCCUUGAAGGAAAGAAGGGUAUCUUUUUCAGUCGAAGCAGAAGUGAAAGCGAAGAAUGUUAAGCAUACAAGAAGGUGGAGGCAAAGAAAUGAAAGUGGGGAGGAGGCCGUAGCCAUUGUCACUGAAGGAGACUGAGAGAGUGCUUUGUGUUGAUUUGUUUUCAAUCUUUUUAAUAUAUCAGUAGAUCAAAGUGAGACUUUAUGAGAGAUCGACUGUAACGCAGAGCAUCUACACAGAGCUACAAAACAGUCACAAUGACUUUUGUUGAUGAAGAUUUCAUAGAGAAAAGAAAAAUAUUACAGCAAAGUUACAGGAAAUCAGCUGAAAAUAAACUAAAGCACGUAAAUAUUAUAUGUAGACACCAUUGUCACAAGAUUAUUAAAAUAAUAAUAAUAAAUUAAUGUCCUAUUUUUGUCACAUUAUAAGCUUGAAAAUGGACAAUGCAUAUGGUCAAUUAAUGGGUUCAAAAGGUACAGGCAUUGAUAUGGGCAAUGUUUUUUGGACCUUAUACUACAUGAUCAACACAGCAUGUUUCUGAAGAAUUACUACUGUAAUUUUGAUUCUCAAUAAUAAUAAUUAUUAUAAUAAUACUGUAAUUUUGAAAAGAAAGCUGAGAAUUUAACCUCUUUAUGACUUUCCUUGCUUGUGGGCUCAACGUUAAACUUUAUUACUUUUUCCGUGAAAUACAAAAAGAUAAUACGAUUUGACCUCCCAACAACCGAAGACAAGUCUUUUUUUUUUUUUUGCUAUUUAAAAUUCAAUAGGUUUUACUUAUUUUUACGUUAUUUCAUAGUAGUAAUAUGUUCAGAUAAAAAGAUUUUGACAAAAAACAUUAUAAAUUUGAUCCAGUUCCUUUAUUUGUGUUCAUUUAUUUAUUUAUUUAUUUAUUUCAGUUAAGGGUUUUUUUAUUUUUUAUUUUUAAUCUAUUAUAUGUUUGUUGACCUGUUUGUGCAGCCUUAUGGUAAUAAACAGAAAUGAGAAUCAAUUUUUAUGAUAUUAUUAAGAAAGUGGUAAAAGUCUGAAAGUCAAGACUUCGACAGAAAAAAUAAUAAUAAUAAUUAUAACAAAAAUAGACAAAAUGCAAAACUCGAAAAGUUCUCGUGAGCUAGUGAUAGUGACGACAAAAAGAUUCUGAAGAGACCAGACAAGACUUCCCUUGGCACGUGUCCACAUCACGAGAGAAUACGAUUAUUUUUUGUAAUUUAAUAUCUAUAUAUAUAGAUUGAUAAUUAUAGAAUGCGGAGAGAUUUAGAGAAAGAUGUGAUCGCCGUUUGAUCAAGAGGCUGAUUGGAUAUGAUGAAAGUGAAUGAUCACCCGGCUUUGGCGCCGGGAGGGAUGAGAUCAGUGGUUGCCACAUGUUCUUGAUUCUAACGGUGAAGAUCUAAUCAAAUUGGUGGGGGCCACCAAGGAGGUAACUGAGAAAUUUAUAACGAUGUCGUGAUCAUUCCAAACAAAUCAAAAGGCUAUAAAAAUAUAGCCUACGUAGGACCACACCAUACGCAAUUCAUAACUCACUCCAAUUAUAAGGGUGCCUUUUUUCUUUUUUCAUAAAAGAAACAAGUUAGAAUUUUAAUUGGAAAUCUUCAAUCAACAGGAUCAUGAUGUAGCUGGUAUAUUUUAUCACAAUUUUAAAAACAACAACCCAAUAUAGUAUAUGAAUAUGAUGAUGGUGUCUUAUAACCUAUGGUUACUGUACUUUCACAAUUUAGACACCAUUAGAUGAUAAAAAAAAAAAAAAAGUCAACAAUAAUCAACAAAUUCUUAUUAUUUAACGGUGCCCAAAUUGUGAUGAACAAUACUCCUGGAGUGUCGUAGUCAUAACAUUACUAUAAAGAUAGUCUAAAUAUUUCUUCAAAGGUAAAAAAACAUUUAAGUAAAUCAGAUCCAUUGUAAUAACUUUAGAUUUGUUUGGAAUGAUCUAAAAAUUUAUCAUCAAACUAUUGGAUGGUCUUCUCGUAAAAGCGUGUGAAAGAAGAGUAAAAUUCUAUUGAGUGUAAUAAUUAUACAGGCAUGCCCAGUCAAAGAAAAAUUACUAUGAGAUUUGUGAAAAUAAAAUAGUUACUUUCCCUCGUGCUAAAUACAUUAUUGGAUUCAAUUUUUUGCUCAUCUUAUAUAAACUUUUACCAUACUCCCUUUUAUUCAAAUCUUCUCAUAAUCAUUAUAGGCAGAGGGGGAUGUAUCAAAUUGUAGUUCAUAAUCACAAGUAAUUUAAUUUGAAAAACCUAUUAACAUUUUCUUAAUUACUUGUCCGUCCAAAGUUAAUUAAAAAAAAACAAAGCGUAGUUGGUGGGGAAAACCAAAAAUGUCAAAUUUAAUGCUUUUUGGCAAGAAUGCUAGUUGACUUUUCAGACAAUUAAGAAAUUUAAAUUUUUGACUUUUACUGUAUAAGUGGAAAAUGAAGGACAGCCAUUAUUGCAGCCUUCUGUCAAAAAAUCUAUACAAAAUUUUGGCCUCAUGUCAGCCAUAAAUAAAAAACAAUCAAAGAAAGAAGGCAAGAAAGAAAGAAAGGAAGGUAUCCUAAGAAUCUUCUUUACACUUUACACAGCCUGCUUUUAUUUUUUUAACUUCCAAUGAAAAUUUUCAGGCAUGGUUAUUGGACUUUCAAAUGGGUACACUUACAUAUGCUUUUCAAUAAAAAGUUUCAUGUGAAAAGAACCAUCCAAGACCAAGAAUAGCUUAUCAUGUUUCUAAAAUGUUAUUUGUUGAGAGAGCAGGUUUAGAGAUGACAAAAUUUGGGGCUCACGUCGGGUUUGGUAAAGUUUAGGUCCCUUUUUUUUUUUUUUUGGGUUAAAUUAGACUUUAAAAGUCAUGAUUAAAUUAUUUAAAACUUUAAAUAUAUAUUAUGGGUGGGUGGACUAAAUAUAUGUUAAAUAUUGUAUUUUAAAUAAAAUAAUAUUUAUUUUCUAAAAAAUUUUAAAAUACUUUUCGAGCUCGAGCUUCACCUAAAAAACCGGCCUGACCCAUGAUACUCGAGCUCAGGCUGAGUUUUUCUACCAUCCUUAAGCAAGUUUCCGCUUGGAUUCGAGGUUGUGGUGGUUAUUCUUCCUCAAGUCUAUGGUAGUUUUGAUAUUUUAUUUAUGUUGGAAAUUAUUUUCUAGAUGCAGAUCUAAAAAAUUACUAGACUUAGAAUAACCCCAUCAUUAUGCAAGUUAGAAGAGUAGUUAGAGCCCACUGCAAAAGAAUAAUUUCAUCGUGUACACGUUACUAGUGAGUGAGUGAGUGAACUACUCCUUGUGCUGAUGAAUUUCCAAGGUGUACUGUGCUGUUGUAUUGUUGGCUGAGUAAUGAAAUUAUUAUUAUUAUUAUUAUUAUUAUUAUUAUUAUUUUGAAAGGACGAAAUUAUUAUUUUGCACAAAAGUAUUCCAUCUAUGGUAUGAACACCAAUUGUGGGUAAUGUCAAAGAAACUAUCAUACACACUCACAAAGUCAAAAAUAACAUGGUAGCCCAUAAGUUCCUUAUUAUUACCAUGCAGCAGAAAUUGAACAGUUUGUUUACCAUCAAUAGCAAAUUAACUUUGCCUAUAUAAAAUUUACGACCAAAAAAUGAUACUAGCUAGAAAUUGAUGGGACUAAAGUUUAAUAUGUCAGCCAUAUAGAAGAAAAAAAAAAAGGUGUCCAAACCUCGAAAGGAUCCACACUUCAAUACUUUAUCGUUUAAUCAAUAAUCACUAUUUUACUAAAAUUUAUACAAACAAUAUGAGGCCAGAAUGAUUAUUGUCAUAUACAAUAAUAACACAAGAUAAGGUUAGUUGAUGCAAUUCAAUUUGUUGCUUUCUAAAAAUUUUCUACUCGUAUUCACGAGUCAACUUUUAAUAUCAAAUGAGAAAAAGGGGACUGAAUUUGAAGCAUCCAAGGGCGUUGUUUCUGUGUGUUUUGCCUUUGGGUCCAAAGUGCAUAUGAUAAUAUAUAUUUUAAAGUCAAUAAUGAAUUGUUUUAUGUUUUGGUGUGUGCGCGCUAGUUGUUUGUGCUGGCAGUAUUCCCUAGAUAAAGAAGCCCUCAAGUCCCAACAAAAAAUUUUGAGGCAGCCCUUUUUGUCUUCAAUUUUGAUGAUCAUGAUUCAUGAUUUGGUGGGUGGUGGUGGUGGUGAGUGAGUGAGUGAGUGAAAGGUGGCCGGCAAUGCCCCAAUUGGCAUUAUCAAAAUUUUCACUUAAUUGCAAUGAAGAAAGCUAUAUACAUAAAGAACAAUAAUAAUAAUAACUACAAUGAUACACAUUAUUUACUUUUGAGGAUUACAUUGCUUUCUGCAGACGGUGCGCUGUGUGGGGGAGGACAGCCGGCCACCUUCCUCAACAAAUCUUCCUUGCUAGUUGCUGGCUCGCUUUCUUCAUUAUAUCAUCCUUUGGCUUUUAUUAUUGUCCUUUCACCGUUAAUUUUAACCCUUGAUUUCCACAAAUGCAAUAUAUGAGUUUAAAAAAAGAAAUACAAAAAUCUUAUUACUCGACGAUGCGCGUUAAUCUUACGUUAUGAAUAAAGUCACUUAGCUUGUCAUAACCCAGCCCAGACCUAAUAAGAUAUUAUCCGCUUUGGACUUAAUAAAACCCGCAUGAUUUUGUUCCUGGAGCGCCUAUAUACCCUAAAAUACAUCUUGUCAAUUAAGGUGUGGAUCACCCUUUAUAAACCCAGCAUGUGUGUUUGUCGAUGUGAGAUUCGCUUAGGGUGUUACGUACACCCCCUUAGGGACUCAACAUCCUCGCUGAAGUUUGCCCCACCAUUGUUCAAGAUGACACGCGGAGCCGCUCUGAUAUCAUCUGUCAUGACCCAACCCAGACCUGCCAAGAUAUUAUCCGCUUUGGGCCUUAACAAGACCCGCACAGUUUUAUUUCUAGAAUGCUCGUACACCCUAAAAAUUUUGGUAAGUUUGGACUGGGUCAUGACACGGCUUUAUUUUUUUGUUCGAAAUUUGAAUAGAUUUAAGAAUCAAAAUACAAAUGUCUAAAUGAUAUAUUUGUUAUUAUUUUUCUAAUAUCUAAAAUGUAAAUGGUCUUUUUUUAUAAAUAAAAAAAUUCUUAAACAUAAUAUUUGACAUUUACAUCUUUAUAAGUAAAAAAAUAAUUAAAUUUUAUAAUUUACAAAAUAAAUAUAUUUAAUAGAAAUAUUUUUAAAUAUAAUAUUUACUUCUCAUUCAAAUAAAAAUCACAAAAAUUCACUUUUUUCUAUUUAAAUGUAAAUAUCUGAAAUUCAAACAUAAGUAAACAAAAAGACAAACUAAUUUAUAAAAGUAUCUAAAAUUAGGGUCUAGCUAUGGUGCAGCUGUGGUAUAGUACCACAGUUGCACCAUAGUUUUGUCCCUAAAAUUAAUAGAAUUUAUCGACUUUAAAUAUUUAGCAAAAAAAAAAAAUCUUCAAAUGCAUUUAAAAUUUCUACUAAGAUGACAAAAAAGUCAGACCUGAUUUUCAAUCCAAUUGACCCGACUCAUAAUUUUCGGGCUUUGAACCAAAUUUAAAAGUCAAGAAUCAGACUCAAGCAUAUAUAUUAAAGCCCAAUUAAAUUCAAGUCAAGAUUCAGACCCUACAUACUCCAACUCGACCGGCCCAACUCUGAACUUAAAUAAAAUAAAUAGUUAAUAUUUAUUAAUAGUGAUGAACCAUAAUGAUAUGACUUUAAAUAAUUAAAACAAAACAUAUUUUAGUAUAUGAAAGUCACUUAGCCAACACGUUUUCGCCCCGAAAUUUGAAUAGAUGUAAAAUCUAAAAAUAUCCAUAUACAAAUGUCUAAAUGAUAUACUUAUAAAUCUUAUUACUCUAAAUAUAAAUAAUAUCUUAUUUAUUUUUAUAAAUAAAGAACAUUUUAAAUAUAAUUAUUUGAUAUUUAUGUUUUAUAAGAAAAAAGAAGAAUUAAAUUUUAUAAUUUAAUAAAUAAAUUUAUUUAAUAUAAUAUUUACUUCUCAUUUAAAUAAAAUAAAAAAAUUCACCUUUUUAUUAAAUUUAAAUAUAUAAAAAAUUAAACAUAAGUAAAUAAAAGAGACAAACAAAUAGAUUUACAAAAAUAUCUAAAAUUAAUAAAACUUUAGAUAUUCAACAAAUAAAUCCUUGGCGUCUGAGAUUGCCAAAUAGAAACUCGGACGUCACAACCCAACUGAGGCCCAUAAAUCUAAUAUGUUCUCAAAUUGCGUUUAUUUUCACUUAUAAUCCACAAAUUUUUUAUUUAAUUGUUUAUUUAAUUUUCCAAGUUGUAGCUCAGAAAUACACGUGGUAAACAUAGAAACAUAAAUAAACAACAUCCAUCGAGAGAGACUAACGUUGACACCUGAACCUCUAUCCUCUCUCUCAGCUCCUUUGUAUUGUGCACAGCGUAUCCAAAGACAAAAAUUAUCUGGUAAGUGGUAACAAUCUCACAACACACAAUGAAUAACAGCUUUAAUGGCUCCGGUUCAUAGCAGGAGAGGCACGAGGGAUUUAGCCUGUCCUCCUCAGAACUAAUUAAAUUUAAUGUUAUAUCUCAACAAAUUCUUUAUAGGCAAGGUGAACACAGCAUACAAUUCAACACAUUUCCUGUUCAUCAAAAAUAGUGAAAAGCUGGAAGAGUCCUCGGAAACAAGGUAAUGGCAUUACUAACGAGGUCAAGAACAUUCAUGAUAUUGAUGUUAAUAUGGUAUUAUAACCAUAAAUAUAUGUAAAUCAGCAAGGAGUCAUAGAGUCAGAACAAUGAUUCUCAGUAGAAAGCAACUAUUCAUGCAAAGUGUGAUAUUUUAGGAGGAGAAGACAAUAUCACCAAACUGCUAGAAGAGAUGAUAAGUACUGCACCAGAUGGCAGUAGAUUAGCUUCAAAGAUGCACCUAGUGCCGCAAAUAAAUAUCUGUUUAUGAAACAGAAAAAUGCACAUCAACCAUAGAGCAAUAACAAAAAGCAUUCAGAUAUGGAUACAACAACACCGAGAGAUAACUGAAUCUAACUGAAAGUAGUGAGAAGAAAACAUCAGUCGCAAUCAGUGCAAAGCUCAUACUUAAGGAGGAUAAGGUGAGAACAUAGACAGCUGAAGGAUAAAAGUAGUAAUACAAGAAAUGGCAGGAGAAUAGUUGAUAGAUGUUUCGAUGUACUGCAAAUACCGAUUUUUUUUUCCCUCAUUUACUACUACAAGGAAAUGCAUACCAACCAGAAGCAAUAUUACAAAUUAACCACAAAGUUGUCCAUCAAAACCAGGCACAAAUAGAGACUUACACACUGGAGCCAACAAGGGAAUCCUUGCCAAUCAGCAAGGAAUAUAACUGCAAUGAUGUCCUAAAAAUCAUGACCUGAAACCAUUUAUACCAAUAAAGGACAUCUAACCAGACAAGAAACCAACUUAUAUCAUGCGUGCAUAAAAAGAAAAGCAUCAUAUUCUUUGCAUAAACCUUCAGUUCAUCACUUCUAGAUUUUGUCAAGUUUCUCCGCCUUCACGACAGGGUUGGCUUUAGCAAUUGCUUCCCGAGCAGCAGUCCUAUAAUCAAACGGGCAGUCGUGCUUGUCAGAGUAUCGGUGAACUGCACAGAAGAGGUUCCCACAUCUGCAAUUGAACCCUGUCAAACCGACACGUUUAUUGCAAGUUGUACACCUUUUAGGGCCUUCCUUUGCUUUCACUCCUGCGAAGCCAAAGGAAGAACCACUAGAUGGUUCCAUGGAGAAUUUCUUUAUCUCCACUGGUCCCACUUGUAGAUCCACGCUGCCAGCAACGAUGGGCUCCUUGCCAGUCCCACCGGAGCUGCCAUGCACAAUGCUCCCAAUAGAUGAAGCUGCUAGUUGGGCCUGUUCCUGAUUAAGGAUCAUGGCCUUGUGGCACUUGGAACACAUAUUCAUGGUAGCAGCACUUCCAAAGAAGCCACAAUUGUUGACGCAAAGAAUGGGGCCUUCUGGAGCUUGGCAUCCAGUUUCAUCAUGUGAUUCCAUCUUUUCUACCUCCUGCCAGGAAAUCAUCUUAUCAUCUAUAUUAAUACAUACAACUACUAAACCAUACAAAUGAUUCAGCCACCAGCUCAAUAUCAAUCAAUAAAAUCCCAUACAAAAAUUGAACAAACUCACAGACCAUGAUGCAUUCAAGAAAACUAACAAAACAAAUACAAAAUAUGGACAAAGAAAAAUGAAAGAAUUUAAUCUGCACAAAACAACUUCAAUCAAUGCCACUAAUCACUAUAACUAGUCAAUUCACUGCAAUGCAUCAUGAUUGACUAAGCAUAGGAAAAGAGUGAUCUAUGAUAUUAAAAAAAAAGAAAUGACCAGGAUACCUUAGGUUAAGACUUAAGGGUGACAUUUACAGAACCUAAAUCAGCGGCUAUCAGCCAGGAGAGGAAGUAAGAGCUUAAUAGAGUUAAUUGCUAAAAGCGAUACAAGCAUAUAUCAUACAUAACACAGUUAAUCUAUAAUAUUCAUCCUCAAAAGUUCAAAAUGGAAUGAAAAAAAAAAUCAUAAAACAAUAGUAGGUAGAUGGCUCGAAUGCAUUCACUCGUUAUUCAAUUGGGUACUGGUUUCAAUAAUAUCCAAGAAACUACAAAAUACCUACACAAGUAUUCAUGUUCACAUCCAGAAGGACUUAGAGUUCAUAAAUGAAAAUAUUUCUAGCACUCGGGAAAACUCUGUUAUCCAUCAGUAAGCUUGCAGGUUGUGCGCCUACAAACCAUCAAUCUCGUGACAGCACAAAAAUUAAAUUUACCAUGGUCGAAGCUGGUAUAGCAAGUGAACCUAACACUAUAAAUUUCAAACGAAUCUGAAACAGAUGAAUUGUUUUCACUUUGCACAAAUCCCCUAACCCACAAUAUUUGAAACAGAUACGAAAAUCAAUUAAGAAAAGAAAUAAGUAAACACAUACAGAAAGGAAUUAUAAUCUCGACCAAUUAACCCAAAAUUCAGGACGGUUUCACAGAGCACAACCCCAACUUCUCAUUUUGCCUCACACUUCAAAACUUUGAAGCAAUCAAAGUUUCUAUUUUUGAAGCCAUAAUCAGAAAUCAUCAAAAACCUAGCACAAAAAUUGAGAAAAAAAAUCUCAUUUUUAACCAACUACUAUGUAAACUAAACUAUAAUUCCAACUAAAUAAUUAAAUAAAUAAGCAAACUCCCAUAAAUAAAUAAAUAAAGAAACCCCUCACCUAUUCGUCCGAUCUUGAUUUACAAAAUCGAACCGAAUUAAUCUGUAAAAAAAAAUUCCCCAAAAAUCAAGGUUUUGAUCAACCGACAAGACUGAAACUAAUCGACGUCGUUUUAUGGACGUGAAAGCUUGCCUUCAAUCAAAGAGAUAAUCGUAGGUAAUAAUAUUGAAAAAAAAAAAAAAACUGAGGCCAAGCAAAAAUAAAAAAGAAAAGAGAGAGAGACGGGGCGUUUUAUUUUUUUUUUUAAAUUUUCUUCGAAGUUCUCUCUCUCGCUACGGCUUUGCUCUAUUUAAGACGACGCUUCCACUUUUUCAUCACCAACGAGAGCUUUCCACCGAGUCGGUGAUGCUUAACUCAUGCCCUGGAUGCAGUUUCUAUUUGCUGCUUUGCCAUUCGCGCUUGAUUUCGUGGCUGACUCGGGUUGGUUAACCCGCUCUGUUGUUGCGGGGCAUCUUGCGCUGGGCUGGGCCUGGGUAGGUUUCUGGUGGCACUGUUGUCGGUAUCUGAGAUCCAAUUUGUCCAAGUAUGACCAGACCAGUUGGUGUAUAUGCUUAAAAUGGAUAAACUUUGGAUCCGUUCUUGUUUUAAAUAAAUCUCAGGGGUCUAUAUGAAAGUAAGUUUGUUAAGUGACAGGAGAUAGGCAAGUGAAGCAAAAAACAAAUAAAUUUUUUUAGUACAAGCUUAUAUUAUUUGUAGUACUGUUUACCAUACGGACGGUUGUUUUCGAAUUAUUGUGAGAUGUUGUCGUAUGUGAUUUGAUAAAAAUCAUUAUUGAUUUUAAUAAAAUAUUUUUAGUUAAUUUAUGUUUAUUUAUCUAGGAAAAUGAUUGAAUGCUUAUUCCAUUCAAGAAAGGCCACAAAAAUUUGAUCAUGAUAUUAUUUUUAGAAAUGAAACGUUAUCUAAAAAUAGGUUUAAAGCUCUUUCUUGAGGUAGACUUAGCUAACUAAUGUAAUGCUUAAUUCCUCACUUUUCUUUCGCACCUAUAACCUUAAUAAUUGCUGUUUGGCGGGCUAUAUUUAUCAUCGGCAUUGGAAUUUUGAGCCUUCAUGUUAUUGCGCUGUUUUGGGGUUAUAAUGUUGGUUAGGGGUGGGCAUUUUACCCGAUCCGACCCGACCCAACCCUAUAAAUUUCAGGUUCGGGUCGGGAUUGAAACUCGAUCGGAUUAAGAAUUACAAACCCAAUCGGGUUGUGAUCGGUUCGGGUCAAACCUAACCCGAUCGGGUUGCAAAAUAAAUAAAUAAAACCUAAGCUAACACUGCACACAGCACACACACAUACGCUGCACACACACAAGCUGCACAGCACACACACGCUUCACACACACAAACACUGCACAGCACACACACACGCUGCACACAAUCAUUCAACAAUUCACAUUCACAAAUUCACUCACAAACCUAACACACACACGUUGUCAGCUACACACCACCAUCACAAGUUCACAACUUCACAAAUUACAAGUUCAAUGUCAAGCUCAAAUACAAACAAGGCAGCCGCAAGUCCGCAACCAGCCACCACAAGACUCACACACAUCAGUCCACGAUUUGUUGCUGCCGACUGCUGAAACCACGAUUUGAUGCUGCCAACUGAAGUCGCAACCAGCUGCUGCCAAGUCAAACCGGUCCAGUCGUGAGCCGUGAGCCGUGAGCCGUCUGCAUCUCUGCGAUCUGCUGCUGCCAACUCCCAAGUGAAGCAGCGAUCUGCUUCCAAGUGAAAUCGCGUCCAGUCGUGAGCUGUGGCCACCGAUCUGCUGCUUGAAGGCCGAAUCCUCACAACCCGACUCGACUUUCUCCCCACCCGAACCCGAUUUUGAAGCUUUCCAUUUCCAGUUUCCACUUUCAAGCUUCAACUUUUUUCAAGUUUCCUAAGUCGUUUCAUGGUAUAUAUAUACUAUAUAAUUCUUAAUUGUUUAUUAUGUAAUUCAGUAAUUGGAUAUUAUUUAAUUGUUGUAAUUAACUAAUUAUGUAUUUAUAAAUAUUAAUAAUAAAAUCAAGGAAAUUUUGUUAAUUAUUGAGCUCUUUAGAAAAAAAUUUUCAUAUAUAAAAAGGAAUUGUUGAUUGGUGGGUUUUGUUUUUAUUUCAUUGAUUGUUAUCAUUUUUUUUAUGAAUAAAUUAGCACAUUAGGUAGAUUAAAUAUUAAAAUUAAGUAUUAUGUUGUAUAUAUUUUAUAAUUAUAAUGUGUUAUGUGAUUAUGUGCACUUGUGCAGUAGCUUCAAGCUUUCAACCCUAAAAAUUUAAUAAAUUCAAUUAAUAUUUUAUUGUAUGUUAAUCAUCUGUUAAGUUGUUAAGUACAAGUAACUUGGACUUGAAAUUAAAGGAUUUAAUUUAUAAUAAGAAAUAAGACAUAAAUAGACAAAUAAUAUCAUAUUAUUAUGGGGAAUGGGUAAUUGGAUAUUAUAAAUUAAUUAAUUAAUCAUGAAUUUCUUACUUUUUGUUUAUGGAGCAUGAACAACUUGAAUUGAAAUUACUAAUUUUUGUUUAUGGAUUAUGUUAAUAAUAUUCGGAUUCAAUGAGUGACGAUGAAGACCAAAGUGUACAAAUGGAAGGAACCCAUAGAGGAAAGGAAAAGGCGAAGCGAAAAAGACCGCCAAUGAAGAAAAGAUCGGCAGUAUGGAAUCAUUUCACUUUACUCGAAGAUAAUCCAAAUAAAUGUAUGUGCAACUAUUGUGGUAAGCAAUAUCAAUGUCAUUCAAGGCUUGAUGGGAUUACAAAUAUGACAAGGCAUAUAAAGACAUGUGAAUCAUACAAGACAUUUCGGGCACAACAAAGUGGAAGUCAACAAAAUUUGACAUCCGAGGGCGGCGAAGAAAAUGCAAGUAAUUUGGUUUUGGGUAAAGGAUGGAGUCAAGACGCGUGUCGAAGGGCAGUAACUAAAAUGAUUAUUAUGGGUGAGUUGCCACUCAGUUUUGUAGACAACAAAGGCUUUAGGCAUUUCUGCAGUGUAGCUAUCCCUCAGUUUGUUAUGCCAUCUCGAAGAACAAUUGGUAGAGAUGUUAUGGAGUUAUUUUUGGAGGAAAAGGCAAUGUUGAAGAGUUUGAUUUGCAACAACAAGCAGCGGGUGUCUCUUACAACUAAUUUAUGGACUUCUAUUCAAAACAUGAGCUACAUGGUGAUUACAACUCAUUUUAUUGAUAGUGAUUGGUGUUUGAAUAGGAGGAUUAUUAGUUUUAGCGCAAUCGAAGAUCAUAGAGGGAAGUCGAUUGGUAAAACGAUCGUGGCUUGCUUACAAGAUUGGGGGAUAGAGAGGUUGUUUGCAAUAACUGUUGAUAAUGUCACUGCAAAUGAUAUUGUUGUUGGUUAUGUCACUAUGCAGUUGCUUAGUUGGAGGAAUAAUGAUGCGUUUGUGUUGGCGGGACAAUAUAUGCAUGUGCAUUGUUGUGCACAUAUUUUGAAUUUGAUUAUUGUUUCAGGAUUAAGAAAGUUGCAUGCUAGUGUUACCGCUAUUUGGAAUGCAGUGAAGUACAUGAAUCCUUCAGCAUGAGGCUGCGAACAUUUAAACAAUGUGCUGAGCAGGUGAAUUAUCCAAAAGGAAUUGUUGUUUUGGAUUGUCCUACCAGGUGGAAUUCCACUUAUUUGAUGUUGAUGACUGCGCUGAAAUUUCAAACAGCAUUUGAUAGAAUGGCAGAAGUGGAUAAACCUUAUGAGGUAUACUUUGUUGAGAAAGAAAAUAAUGUUAAAAUGGUGGGCCCACUUGGACCGGAGGACUGGGAGAGUGCUGAACGAAUUGUGAAGUUUUUGAAGGUAUUUUAUGAUGCCACAUUAUUGUUUUCUGCCUCUUUGAGUGUGACUUCUAAUCUUUAUUAUGAUACUAUUGGCUUAAUUGAGAGUUCAUUGACUACACUGCAAGAAAAUACAGAUCCUUGGGUGUCUUCUAUGGCUUAUAGUAUGAGGAAAAAAUUUGAUAAGUAUUGGGAGUCCACAGGAAAGAUAAACAAAAUGUUGAUUAUUACCUCUAUUCUUAAUCCACAAGCGAAAAUGGAUUUUGCUAAAUAUAUUUUUUAGAUCAUUUUUAGCAAUGAUAGUUUGAUGGUUGAACAAAUGACCAAAGCAGUGAAGGACUUGUUGAAUGAAUUUUAUGAUGCAUAUAGUGCAUUCUCCUCUAGUUCCACACCAUCGAUGUAUGGUGAGAGUGGUCUUAGUGGCAGCUAUAGAGGUACAAGUUCUUCUCAACGUUUUACAACUGAGGCUAAUUUGGUGAAUGUUGCUGGUAGUGAAUGUGAUGACGCUUUUCAAGUUGCUCACCCUUUUCUUGGAUAUGCCAAGAAGGUUUCUGUUCAGAAUGAGAGUAGAAGAGUAGUAUCGGGGGUGGAAAUGUACUUGAAGAACCCAGUUAAAGAUUCCAGCAAUCUUAAACUUAAUGUUUUGCUUUGGUGGAGGGUGAAUGGAUCGAGGUAUCCAAUUCUUGAGAAAAUUGUAAGAGAUGUCCUUGUUAUUCAUGUUUCCACAGUGGCAUCUGAGUCUGCCUUUAGCACCGGGCGUCGUAUUAUUGAUGAGUAUAGGAGUUCUUUAACUCCGGCUAUGGUUGAGGCAUUGAUAUGCACUGAAAAUUGGCUGCAGUCUAAACUUUUUGUCAAUCUCGUCUACAACCUCCGAGAAGAUAUCAAGGAGCAAAUGUUUCAUAUGGAAUUACAAGAAUAGUAUUUGGUUGUAAUUUAAGCUAUAAUUAUAGUUGUUAUAGUUUUAAAUUUUAAGUCUAAUUUGUAAUUGUUUUAGUUAGACAAGUUGAAGUUGAUAGAAUGUUAUUAUUGUCUAGUAUUAUUAUUAACUUAAUUUGGUGAUGAAUGCCAUAAAAUAAGCAUGAUAUAAUAGAAAUAUAUAAUCAAGUGUGUGUAUUAAAAAAUUUGGUAAACAUAUAUGUUUAGUUGUAAUUAUAAAUUUAUAAUGAUAUAAUAGAAAUUAGAAAGAUUGUAACACCCCUUUAGCUUAAUUAAAUAUAUGAAUUGGAUUUAUUUAUUUGUGUUUGUGUUUGAUAUGUAACCUUAUGAAUUUGGUUUAUUUGCUCAAUUUUUUAUAUGAAUUGAGUUUGUUCAUUUGGAACGUGGCUUAAAGAAAAUAUUUAUUGUACAUUUCCUCAAUCUUUCUCUAGGCAAUUGGCACUUGAACUUGGAGUUCAAAAAUUUGAAUUUAGAACUUGUCAAAGUGCUUGCAUGGAGCCAUGGAGGAACCAUUAUUCAUUUGAUUUAAUAACAUUUUCUUUUCUUUUUUUCAAUUGAAAAUUAGUAAAAAUGACUAUAAUUAAGAAAAAUGUCUUAAAACUAUCAUAAAAACUACAAAAAUAGGAAAAAAAAAGCUCAAAAUUGCAUUUACCGAAUUUGACCCGAGUUGACCCGAUUUCAACCGACCCGAACUAACCCGAUUUGACCCGAACUGACCCAAACUCAAUCUAACCCGUUUUAAAUCCAACCUGAUCCAACCCGAACAUAACCCGAAUUAUUGACCCGACCCGAACUAUGUUCGGGUCGGGUCAAUAAUUCGGGUUAUGUUCAAAUUGAUUCUUGUCUAAUCCGAACAAUCCGAAACUCGAUCGGGUUGACCCGAACCCGACCUGAACCCGAUUUUGCCCACCCAUUAUUGGUGACAGGCGAGGUCGAAAUAAGCAGAGGGUGUAUAUGUAGACAAGCUCAAACUUCAGAUCCGGUUACGGGUUGUUCAAACCUCAGGGGUGAGUGUGAAAUUUUCUGGACAUCACUCUUAUCAUAUGCAGCGCGAACUAUGAUAUGUUUCAAUCUCAUUAGCACAUCAAGUAGACACCCACGCUACGGCCCAACUUAACUGGCCCCAUCUCUUGUCGACGAUGUGAUUAUUCCAAUUUUUUAUCAAAAGCUACUAUACGGUAGCACACACCUGAUCGUCCCGGCGGGAAAAGAGCCGAAAUGGCGGGAAUAAAUCGGAGACGAAAAUUUUAUUCAGCACCAGUACUACCACUGGUAUAAGAACCCCAACCCUUUGCUUCUUUCACUUUGGAAAGCAAAGUAAAGAAAUUUAAAAGGGGUAAAAUGGGAAAGCAGAAGAAAUCUAGGGUUUCGCAUGAAGAAGAAGAAGAAGAAGAACUAAAUCAGGAGAAUCUGAAUCAAUCUUCUUCAAAUGAUAAGGACCUUUAUGAGGUAUCAUUGUUCUUUUGGGCGUUUUAUGUUAAUUUUUUUUAAUAGGGAGUUUAAUUUGUUAAAUUAGUCGUACUUUAGUAUCAAGGGUUUAUUGUACUUAACUUGUGAUGCUGCAAUAAAAAUUAGGGUUUUAUUUCAUAUUAUUAGUGUAAAAUUCAUUGCCUUCGUCACUUAGCACAGCCAAGUUCUGAUGUGUUUUGUUUGUGAAUUGGCUUAAAUGCAAGGAUUUGUUUUCUGACUGGAAUUCUUUUUUUUUUCAAUAAAUAUAUUUGUCUUUUACAAGACAAUGGCAUUUGGUUUGUUCUUAAUGAUCAUUUACCCCUGUAAAUGUACUCUCAACUGUGUUGCUUGUAUGCCUUUAGACUCUCAUUUUCAGUUUUCAACCUUUCGUGUAGAAUAUCAAAUUGCUUUGAAGAAGCAUGUGUAUUCUGUAACAUGCACGGUAAACUUUAAUAGUCUCAAUUAAUUAAUUUGGUUGGCUUUGUAGUGAUUAUGAUUCCAAGAAUUUGAAUGCUUUCAUUGAGCUAUUGUAAACUUAUGCACCCCACUUACCACCCAUCUCCUUCCAAUUUCCUGUUGUGUUGGGUUUGCAUCCUCUUCUGAAGUAAACCGAGAUAAAUCUAAUACGGAUGCUCUGCUUGCAGGUUCUUGGUGUUGAAAGGACAGCAUCUCAACAGGAAAUAAAGAAAGCAUACUAUAAAUUGGCCUUACGACUCCAUCCAGAUAAAAAUCCUGGUGAUGAGGUAAGGAGAAAACUUAGUUACCUGCAUGGCCGGUCAUUUUUAUUCUCUGUUGUGAUCUAUUUUAUCUUCUUUGAACAGGAGGCGAAGGAGAAAUUUCAACAACUACAAAAGGUCAUUUCAAUUCUUGGUGAUGAAGAAAAACGGGCUCUUUAUGACCAGACCGGUUGUGUCGAUGAUGCUGUGAGUGUUGAGAGAACUAUUUGUUUUCUAGUCAUUUUAUUUAGAUAAAUUAAAGUCUAGGGCUAAUAGAAAUUCCAUGGUGAUGAAAAAUAUUUCAUUUGCACUAUAUGGUCUUAAGGAAUCCAUCCUUUACAGUUCCCUUUUUAUUGACCAACUUAUACCUGGUAAAAAAUUGGCAAUCAUGACUAUAUGUGAGAGAUUGGGCUUGAAUGAUAUUCUUUCUUAAAAUUUGGAAUAUUCACUUUCAGUUUUUUUAUCUUUUCAACUGUUGCUGCAUUUUGUGUCUCAUUUUUAUCCUUUUUGCUGGUCAGGACCUGGCUGGGGAUGUUGUUCAAAAUUUGAAAGAGUUUUUUGGAGCCAUGUACAAAAAGGUUAGAUGUUUUAAUCAUGAAAUUUUUGAAUUAAUGCCUUGUAUAAUUCUUCUUUUCCAUUCCAUUUACUUGACAGCUGAUAUACGGAUUGCAGGUCACUGAGGCUGAUAUUGAAGAGUUUGAGGCAAACUACAGGGGAUCUGAUUCAGAGAAGAAAGAUUUGAUUGAUCUGUAUAAGAAGUACAAGGGGAAUAUGAACAGGUUAAAGAGCUAUGUGUUUCUUUUCCUUCCUUGGACUUGCCAAUUUAAGUUUGAUGGCUUAAAAAUUCUUUCUGCCACAGGCUUUUCUGUUCAAUGCUUUGUUCGGACCAGAAACUUGAUUCACACCGUUUCAAGGAUAUUCUUGACGAGACAAUAGCUGCAGGUAAAUGUUCAUAUCACUUUUUGCUUAUAGACCCAGAAAGUUUAGUGUUCUAGACCUCAGAAGUUUCAAGUUCUGCCUCUGAACUAGGUUAAUUGCAACUUAAGUGGACAACCAAGCCUUUAAAAGAUAAUUGAUUGUUUCCACCUUAGAGGACCACCUUAUAGAAUAAGAAUAUUCAAAUUUGUUUGGAUUAGCUCAAACUUGUGAGAUCUCCCAUACUGAUCUCUCUCUCUCUCACUUGUGUAGGAGAACUGAAAGCAACUAAAGCCUACCAAAAAUGGGCCAAAAAAGUAUCCGAAACAAAACCACCUACCAGUCCUUUAAAAAGGAAAGCAAAGUGAGUUUUUACUGGCCUGUCUCUUUUCUACUAAUUACUUUAUUAUCCUCUUUUGACAAACUCAUAUAUGAUAUGAAAUAUAUUGUGGCCAUGUUUUGAUCUUUUACAGAUCCAAUAAACAAUCAGAAUCAGAUCUAUAUGCAGUUAUAUCUGAACGCCGAAGUGACAGGAAAGACCGGUUUGAUUCUAUGUUCUCAUCACUAGUGUCUAAAUAUGGCGGUGCUGCUGCAGGUUCAGAGCCUACAGAUGAAGAAUUUGAGGCUGCACAGAAGAAAAUAGAAAACCGCAGAGCCUCUAAAAAAUCAAGAAGGAAGUAGCUUUGCUCAAGGAUUUGAUUUAACUGUACAAAUCUUUAUCCUACUAUUAGUCUGCGAAUCUCUUCUGUCAUUCAAGUUUAAAGUUCUAAUUGAUUUCAUGUCAAACUGGCAGCCUUUUAAUGUAUGCUUAAUUAUAGACCCAAAAAAUUAGAAUUACAUAUGUCGAGUCUGGUUACAUUGAUUAGUGCAGGGACUUGAAGAUAUGUCUUGGAUGCUCUCAGCCUAUUGAUAAAAUUUCUGCAUUACAUUUACAAAAGAUACAGAAUACAGAUAAGCAGUUGUGACGAUGAUCUCUGAUAAGAAUGUGGCAUUAUAAGGGUCAAACCUGGAACACAUGGGUUUUGGUUUUGGUUUUGCUUUGGGAAGCUUCCCUAUUAUUGAUUCAUAAACAGACAAGCUUAAACAAUGGCACUGGUUGGUGCUAGGCUUCCGUGGAAAGUGCCUCGCUCAAAAAGGACAAACGUUACAUCGGAAAAACAAAAGUGGACCAAUUUGUCUCCAUCUCUAUGCUGGGAUUAAGCUCCCAUUUGAGAGCACCCUAUGCUGCACCUAAAAUUGGUGUCAAAAUUAUGCAAUUUUUUUGUUCAUUUAUCUUGUGUUAAAUUGUUAAUUGCAAAUGAGAAAUCCCUUUCUCACCCAAGCUCUUUGAUCGAUUAUUAUUAUUAAUUUUCUAUCUGUUGUCGCUCUACAAGGCCAAAAGAGAGGUUGCUCUAGAUCAAAAGACAUCCAUCGUUUUCUACAACGACAGUAUACCUCAUGAAUUAUUUAACUCAAAAGCAAAGAAGGGAUUUGUGUAAAAACCUAUAUGGGAAUUUAUUUUGUACCAAUUACCAAAUGUUUAAAAAGUAACUCAAUUUGCUUAUCUCUACUACUACGGCCUUCAUUAGCUUAACAUAUUUAAGAUAAAUAAACAAAUAAUUCCCACCCACCAAAUUUUAUAAUAUCAAAAGCAUGAUGAUUAUAUAUUUUAUAGCCAAAAGUGAAUGUAUAAUGAAAUUCUUUGUACCUUUAGUAAAAUAAAAGUUCAAGCCAUCCAUCAAUCAUCAUUAGCCUUAAGCCUACCAACUAAUCUUAUACCAAUUGCUGGCCAACCACAACACAAAAACAAAUAAAUAAAAGAACUAAAGCAGGAAAAAAAAAAAAAGGAACUUACAACCGUGUGAUGCCAUUAAUAGAUUACUCUAAUUGGGGAAUUUCCCUUUUUCUUUUUUUUUUUCCCCCAAUCUAAUUUCGUGAAGACACUGACAUCACAACAACUACAUAUUGGGAAACAGUCUAUAGAAUUUAGUGGUAUUUAUAUUAUAUAGCUCUCAUGAAUCUGUAAAUGCAAGCAAAGCAAUAGUCUCUCUCUUUUUCCUUUCCUCUUUGGUCUUCAAUACCUGUCACAGUGUCACUCUUAUUCAUUCAACCUUUCAACUUACCAAUUAAUUGAUUAAGUAUUAUUAUAUAAUAUAUAAUAUUUGCAUUAGCCUUUGUUUCCUUUACUUCGGUUGUCCUUCCAUUUUGGUAAGUCAUCAACCUAAUUCUAAUUAUCUUAUUAUUAUUGCUUUUGCUUAUGCUCCUCCCUUUCUCUCUCUCUCUCUCUUUCUCUCAACUUGUGUGGUGUAAAAAACAUAAUAAUUAGUGUAGCUUUAGUCAUCUUUAUGUCUCUUCAUAUAUCAGAUCAUUGUAUUUUGCUACUUCUAUAAUCUCAAGUCAUUACUCCUCUUGAAGGGAUAUAAAUUUGGUAAAUUUUUUGAACAGAAUUAGUCAUUUUCCUCCUUGAAUUUGUGCUAAUAUAACAAAUUUGAUCUGUUGCUGAAGUGGGUUUGCUGUUUUUAAUGUCGUUUAGCUUUUGAAGGAACCAAUGGAGACUGAAAAUGGCGAUUCGAAGUCGAAGCUGGAAGAUUAUGAAGUGAUUGAACAGAUUGGAAGAGGAGCAUUUGGAGCAGCUUUUCUUGUUCUGCAUAAAAUUGAAAGAAAGAAGUAAGCCAGUUUUCAUCAAAUACUAUUCCUUCCCCCCCACCCCCCACCAAAAAAAAAUUGGUCUUAAUCUUUAGCGAAUUCAAGAAAAUUGGGAAAUGAUAUUUUCAAGAAAAAUCAAUUAGUGGGUACAAUGUUUUAUCAAAAUGGCGACUUGACUUGAGCUUGUGUUUUAGAUAGUGUAGCUUGCUUUCUAGAUAGCGUUGGCACGACUUGCUGUUUCUUAGUGGAGAAGAUUGACUUUUAGCUUACACAGUGUGUGGUUGUUGAUUUUCUUUUUCCGUUAGGUACGUGUUGAAGAAGAUUCGAUUGGCCAAACAAACUGAGAAGUUCAAACGGACAGCACUUCAAGAGGUUGCUUUCUUCACAAUUUUUUUGUUACAUUUAUUUAUUUAGUGAUUCUUGCAACAUUAUUUCUGUUUUUUAGAAGCCAUCAAUUUUUUGACAUUGCACUUUGCCCAUUUAUAUUUUUUCAAUCCUAAUCAUAAUGUGUUUAGAAAUUAGUUCUUUAGAUAUGCAGAAUAUGGUUAUUUUCGUUUGUAUAGACUUGUUUUUGAAUCUUUAAUGUGUAAAAUUUGAUUCGUCACUUUAAUUUUGCAAAGCCAUUUUUAAAGAACUCUUGAUAAAAAUCUCAUUUUUAGCAAAAAAUGUUUCGUAUUUCAUUUUGGAAAAGGCUUUGUUAUUUUAAUUUUGGACAAUUUUUAUCUAAACUUAUAUUGAUCUGAUUGUAAAUUAUAGACCUGGGUACCCAGUAUCCUACAAAGCAUUCAACAAACGCAUAUCUAGUCAUCUGAGAACCUUUGGUUAUACGUCUUUAUCUUACCAACAGUUAGCAGAUUCUUCAGUUCAUUGGCUCCUCAUUUGUUUUACUGAAUUAUUUUUUGCACAUUGAUAAUCCAAAAUUGAUCUGGGAAGUUCUUACUGAAAUUGCACUUAUGCUUUCCGCUUUUGGAUUGAUCUGCUAUAAUACUUAACAGAAUCAUGAUAAUCAAUGGAAAGUGAAAUGAAGUUGUAGCUUCCAUCCUGAAACUUGCAGUUUGGUCCUUCUAAAAAGACUUUCAAACUUGCCAUCUUUUAAUGAGAUUGUAUAUCGCUGUCUGGUUUUAAGAUUGUAGACUGCCAUCUAGUUUUCCUUCAACUUCUAGGAAGAUACUUACAGUAGGGCCUCAGGCCGAGGCUUGAAGCCUAAGUUGUUUUAAUCUUCAAUGCUCCAAGCAAACCAACUUUUCUCUCAAAAGACUAUUUAUGUCCAUUUCUUUUGCAGAUGGACUUGAUUUCCAAAUUGAAUAACCCAUAUAUAGUAAAGUACAAAGAUGCUUGGGUGGACAAGGUAAGCAUGUCAUGCAUUUAUAUUUUUGUCUAUGUAGAAUUUGUUCCUAUGAGACUAUGUUACCUCUCUAUUAACAUGCUUGUUUCUCUUCAUGUUUCAUAGGGAAACUGUGUUUGCAUCGUAACUGGUUACUGUGAAGGAGGAGACAUGUAAGUUACCACCAUGUUAAUCUUUUCUUACUAGGUUGUGUGAAAUUGUCGGGGUAGAUUCUUGGGUCAAAUCUUACUAAUAGGAAACAGAAAAGUAUUGCCAAGAGUGUAUUAGUCGACUUUCUCAGGAAAUGUGAACAGAUCGUCAAGAUUCUUGUUGAUUCUAUGGUGUAGGUUGCAUAUUUGUUUCAGGUAGCACUUCUUGAUCAUUGAACAUACUUACAUUCAUUUUUGUCUCUUUGUGAGAAUUCAAGAAUUGAUAAUUGAAGGCUACUGGUGAUCUUCACCUGUACAGCCUAGAAGCAAAUUAAAAGCUCGACCUGCAUAUUUUUUAAAAUUUUACAUCUUUCAGAAAACAUUAUGUUAAAAUAUAAAGUUCUCUUUGCAUAUAGUUGUCAACUGAGGAUAUCUUUGACGAGAUUUUACUAAACCAAAAAUGCAAAAUGUAGAAUAUGGAAAUGCUGUUCAUAGAGGACUAAACCAGAAACAUUGUGUAAUUGUCCUGUUUUUAAUUUUUCUUUUUUUUUUUUUAACUCAGGGCUGAAAUUAUAAAGAAGGCCAGAGGAGCAUGCUUUCCAGAGGAGGUAAUCGUUAUCCUGUUAAUGAAAUCAUGCCCUAUACAUGCAUGCAUGCAUGCAUACAUACGUACACUGCUGACUAAGGCAACAUUCACCCAUCCUGUAUUUUGUUUGGCUUUGCUCAGAAACUCUGCAAAUGGCUGACCCAGCUGUUGCUAGCUGUGGACUACCUUCACUCCAACCGUGUCCUUCAUAGAGAUCUUAAGGUAUACCUAUAUGUGAUAAAUUUUUUAAAAAAUUAUGAAUAACAUGUUUUUGAUUUAAUCUUGUUCAAUUACAGUGUUCCAACAUAUUUCUUACGAAGGACAACGACAUCCGUCUAGGUAUGAAGGAAAAUUGUAGUUGGGAAACAAAAUUUUUCACUCUCAUCAGCUUUGGCUUACAAGUUAAGAUGUCUAAGAAUUGUACGUCUUUUAUGAACUAUACAGGGGACUUUGGGCUUGCAAAACUACUGAAUACAGAAGACCUUGCUUCCUCAGUAUGAACUCAUACUUGUUUUUGAUACAAUGCAUUUCACUUUGUUUUCAACUUGAAUCCAAAACAAGUUGUCAACUUUAAACCCUGUCAAAACUCUUUAUUUUAUGAAGCUAUCAUGCCCACAAGCACUUUUAAGUUACCAUAUCAAAAUUUCUUAUAAAAUACACUGACUACGAAUACUUAGUAUACAUACUAACAAAAUGUUAUGGUUUCAAUAUCUUAAGAGCUUCUUUUAAAGACACUUCAUUCAAUUUAGUCAUUCAGAUAGUUUACUGUCAGUGCUGUUUCAUGUCUCAUAGGUUGUUGGCACUCCCAACUACAUGUGUCCUGAACUCCUAGCAGACAUUCCUUAUGGCUAUAAAUCUGAUAUAUGGUCGCUCGGUAAGAAAUUCAGUAAGAUUGGUUGUCAGUUUACCAAAAUUAUUUCGAGAUUCAUUGUUAACGGUAACAUACAUGUGUUGUUACAGGUUGUUGUAUGUUUGAAAUUGCUGCCCAUCAACCAGCAUUUAGAGCUCCUGUAAGUUUCAGCUUCAGAUACAUGUAAUUACCGUACAGUGGCAAUAAAAUGUCUAUAUUUACUUUAUGUAAAAAAGUCAUAAUUAAAUGCAUUUAUUAAGAACUCAACAGGAUAUGGCUGGACUCAUCAACAAAAUAAACAGAUCAUCCAUUUCUCCACUCCCAAUUGUGUAUUCCUCCACAAUGUAAGUAUCUCUCGCAAUCCUAUUACAGAUAUUCGAUGUUUCUCAAGGACCACUCUAGUUCAUAUAACACACAUGCAAUUACCCUUUUUCCCCAUGAUUCCAUAUUUUAUCUUACAAUAUCAUAUAUGUAUUUACUGAGAUGGCAUUUUAAUAUCACAGGAAACAAAUUAUUAAAAGCAUGCUAAGGAAGAACCCAGAACAUAGACCAACUGUGAGUUUCAGUUACCCUAACCUCAUAGCUGGUCUAUUUAAAAGAAAUUAUUCAUUCUUGUGCCUGCACUUUUUGAAAUUUAGGCUUCAGACCUGUUGAGGCAUCCGCAUUUACAGCCAUAUCUCCUUCGAUGCCAAAACCCAUCUUCUGUUUAUCUUCCAAUAAAGCCGACAAACAUUAUGAAGGAGAAAACAAGAAAAUCACCAUCUAGCAAACAUAAUAGUCGCAAGGAUAAGGGGGAGAGAGAGGCAGCAGCACCUAACCAGUUGGAAAAUGUUCGUUCAGUAGCGAAAAAUAUUGCUGUACAGCUCAACAAUCUACCUCUCGAUGACAAGCCAACUUCCAGUACUAGUACAGAAGACAACCUUGAGACCAAGAAAGUUGAUCCUACUAGCUACACAAUGGAAGUAUCCAGCUCCAUCAAUGAUUCCAAAGAAAGGUCCACUCAAACUGAGACAAGUGAUUGCAGCAGAGACAAGCAAGCUCACUUUAAUGGCAGCACUGGCUCUGACUUAACCUCAGAGAUCACAGCAAAUUCUCAGAAUGAAAUACAAGAACCUGCUGAUGCACAUGUACAACCCGCAGAAGAGAUAGAUGUCGAGACUGUGAAAAGUAAAGAUCAAAAUCCAUUUAGCGAUCGAGUUGUUGAAGAAGCUGAUAUAGAGGGUGAGAGCUCUGUUCCCUUGGACUGUGGGAAAAUGACACCGUCCAGUGCAGGCUGCAACGGUAACAACGAGUCUCCUGACGAUAAAAGUUCAUCAUCAGCUAUAUAUGAACCCGAAGUAGCACCUGGAAGUUGUUCGCCAAAGAUAAAUAGCCACAAUGCACAGAAUGGGGAAGCUCACAUGGGCAACUUGUCAUCUGCAAGCAAUGAUGCACUUCCUUGUAAAGAUGAAGCUCAGACAAAACCAGAUAAUACUAGUUGCUCCAUGCAAACAGAGAAAGAUGAUUCUCGUGCAUUUAAUCUGGCACCAAGCGACAUCUCAUUACUAAGUACCGUUACGGGGAUAAGUUGUGAUGAAAUCAGGGCAGAGUGGGAGAAUCCAACCCAGCAAAGAGCAGAUGCUUUGGAGUCUCUUCUUGAGUUAUGUGCGCGGCUGCUGAAACAGGACAAACUCGAUGAGCUGGCUGGAGUGCUCAGACCAUUUGGUGAAGAAACUGUCUCAUCUAGAGAAACAGCUAUCUGGUUGACAAAAAGCCUCGUGUCUGCACAGAAAUUUAAUGGGGGAACGGGAAAUUGAUUUUCUCGAGGUAUUGCCAUUAAUUUUUACAUUUUUUUUUUUUGUUUUGGAAGAGAAAAUGCUUGUUGAAUGUGUUGAGAUAAAAUGGUUUUCUUCGAGUGUUUGAUUGAAGAUUAGAAGCUUGAAUAACAUAAUUUGUAGAUUUAACACAGAGUCGGCUUUCAUGGGAAAUAAACUGGAUUGAUUUAUUUAUUUAUUUUUCUUAAAAACAAUUUAUGUCAACAAGUUUCUUGUGGGAUUGGGAUGGCAGUUAACAUUUUAAACGUACUUCUGCAUGAUAGUAACUACUAAUAGUGUUCAUUGCAUUAGAUGCAGAUGCUUCAAAAAAAAAAAAAAUUCUUUUUUUAACUAAAUUAACUGAAUUAUUAAAAAGGAGAGCAAUCAAAUAAUGGGGUAAUUAGGAUAAAAUCAAGGUGUGUUUUAUUCCGACAUAAAUUUCAAAAGCAAAAUACAAUUUAGGUUAAAAUUCCGCUCACAACUAGGACGAGGAUGAGGGGCUUGGUUUAUAAUUAUACAAUAAUUCGAAAAAAGAAAUACCACCUACCAUGGCAAAUGAAAUUGAACAAGAAAGGAAUUAAAAACCUUCCUUAGUAUACAUAUUGACUAUAUACGCAUAUAUAAGAUGGAUCAUUCUUUUGAAAUUUGAAGCUUCAAGCACACGUAUUUUUCAUUAUCUAAGUCUUCAAAUUCGCAGCAAGACUAAUGCCAGUAAUAGGCCAAAAAUGACACAAGGGAUGCCACGACCAAAGAACCCAUAACGGGCAAUGUCUCAGCGGCCCCAUCCGCCGAGUCCGAUGGGGCCAUGCUCGGCCCUGGGCCACCAGCCUCAGGACCUUGUGCCGGGGCCGGGGCCGGGGCCAGGACUGGGUCUGCGGCCACGGCAACGCUCAAGCAGGCGGCGACGGCCACGAGUACAGCACAAGAGAUCUUCCUCACGUCCAUAUUGGAUGUAGCUGAUUAAUCUGAUUGGUAACCUAACACCUGCCUUGGAGUUCAAGAAAUAGCCCUUCUAUUUUUCUGGGAUUUUUUUUUUUAAAUUAGCGAAUACCUUUUUUUAUUCUACUUUUUUGGGUACUUUUGGCAGGUCUGUAUAAGAUGAGUGAUGUAGAGGGUAAUAUAUAUAUAAGAAGAAUUGGGGUUAUCUUUAGGACUAAUUGGUUUUUUAGUUGAAGAUUUUUUGUUACGUGUUGGAUUUGACCAUGAGAAGAGGAUGACCAUGCAGGCUUGCGGGAUGUGUAUGGAUAUCUUUUGUUCUCGUGCAUGAGGCAGAAAAUUUUUAGUUAGAGUUUGAACGGUUUCUUUUUUUAUUUAAUGUAAAAUUUAAAUAAAAAAUCCCAAGGAAACUAGCUUACUGUACCAAUUAAUAUCAUUGUCUCUCAAAUCGGUUAAGAUAGAUGAAUUAUGGGGAAAAUAAAUAAAUAAAGCGUGGUAUUCCUAAGGUUUGCACUUAAUUUACAAAUAAACUCAUAACGUUUCAUGAAUAAAAUAACAUACAAACCAUUCUUUUGUUAGAGUUUUACAUUUGUUUAGGAACAUCAAACAUAUCAUCAUAGUUUACGUUUUAAAAAUUACGCAACACUAAUAUGACAUAUCAUACGUAUAUAUCUUCUACCGAAUGCUAACUUUUAAUCUUAUUAUCACUCAAACUUAAAAUAGGUACAAAGUACAUUUAUAGACACUCGAGCUAUAUCCGAGGGACUAGCUUAGUGUGCCAGUACUGUCACCCAAUUGUUUGAGACAAACCACUAUAGUGGAUUCAUUUUUGUGUCAUUAUUGAGGUUGAGAGUUUAAGUCUCUCCAUACGCAUUGUGAGAGUAGAUUUUCUCCUUAUUCAAAACUAACAUAACAUAACAUUGUUCGUUCAGCUGAUAAAAUCUCUUGUGUCAAAUACAAGAAAUAGAGCCAACAUGUGGAGAGUUAGAAUCUUGAGGGGGGCAAAUGCCACAGUCAAAUUGAACUUCAAUGAAAUUGUUUUCUUUGCCAAAAUAAAGGUUGGGGGGAAAAACUGUACUCUCUCCGAACUAGGGAUGGCAAUGGGGUGGGGUGGGGGUGGAGAGACCUACCCCAUUCCCCACCCCGUUAGAAAUUUUUGCCUCCAUUCCCCACCCCAUUCCCCAAUAAAUUUAGUGGGGUGGGGAUGGUGAAUCCCCAUGUGGGGAAUGAUUUUCCCAUCCCCACCCCAUUCCCCAUUUAUCUAUUUUAUAAUAUGUAUAAAUAUAUUAUUUUAGUAAGUUAAAAAUUAGAGACUUAAAAUAAAAUCAUCAUAUUAUAAAGUAUUUAAAUUUUUUAAAAAAAAAAAUCUAAAAGUUUGAAACAAUAUCUUAAAAUGAUAUUAAAAGUGAAAAAUAUUUAAAGAGCGUAGCACCGUAAAAGAGAAAAGAAAAUAUAACAAUGUUUCAGAGUUGAAAAAUAUUAUAUGAUUUUCUUUCAUUCAUAUCUUGUUUAUAUUGAAUAAAAAUUAAAAAAAAAUUAUUAAUUGACAUUAUAAUUGAUAAAAUAAAAAUUAUUAAAUAAGAAUUAAAAAUAUAUUUAUAUAUAAUGGGGAUUGGGGUGGGGGUGGGGUGAGGAGUACAAAACCAAACCCCACCCCAUUAAGAAUUUAGGGAUUAUUUUCCCCCACUCCCCACCCCAUUCCCCAAAAAUUAUUCAAAAUUUUUCCCAUUUGGGGUGGGGCUUCAUGGGGCCCCAAACCCGUGGAGGAUUUUGCCAUCCCUACUCCGAACAAAUAAUUUGGCCGGCAAGACUCAAGAGUGACAACUCACGUAUUGUUGUAACUUCAAAGACAUGCCUAGAGAAGUUAAACGGCUAAUUUCAACCUUUUUCAUCUGAAAGCUGCUCUGUCUCUAAAAGGGCAGCUCACCUCUUUUGCGUACAAACCUUAAUUUCACAAUGACUAUCGCCAUCGACAUUCAAAUAGCGGAGGCGUCACUUAUUUUAUCCGCAACAAAUCAAAUUUGUGAUGAUCAUUUGCCACCUUUCCCUAUAAUAUAAUAACGAGAAAAUUAAUUAUGUCCUUAUGGUGUACACAUUCUUUCAUUAUUAUAGGCUUUUAGGAUAUAUAAGACCUAUUAAACCAUAUGUUAUGUCUAAAUUAUAGUGUUCAUAGUUGACUCAUUUAACAUUAUAUUACCUUUUUAAAAAUUUUCCCCCCUUAAUUGGUAUCUCUGGACUGAAUUAUUUUGUGCUUAGAUUAAUCCGAUUCAUUUUAGACUUCAACAAAAGAAAGAAGAAAAAAGAAAAAAGAAAAAAAAAAGGUAGCUUAAAUAUAUAAAAAGAAGAUUAAAUCACGCAAGUAAAAGCAAAAGUGAGUGCCCAACUGCAGGAAAAUUAGACCAUAAGGCGAACCGUACCACAUGAGAUCUGAAAAACGGAUCUAGUCAUUUAUUGCCACGUGUUGGACUAUCUAUUAACAACCGUUGAUCAACUACUUCGUGGUGCCCACGUUGGAUCACAACCCUAUACCUUAAUCAGCAAUGGGCCCUUAUCUUGACCCAGGCCCAAGAAGACGGAAAGUGAUGGGCGAACGUUUUUCACAUAUAAUCAUGAAUGUGGAACCUGAAUUUCACGGAAAAAAUAUUUUGUAUUACAUACCACCUAAGACCUUACCCCAUUUAUAAAUAGUUCAAAGUUUCAUCCAUUUUUUUUCAAAAUAUACACACAAAUUAUUCAACAAUUACUCAAGUCCUGAUUUCUUUUAGUAGCCUCUCUGAGCUUUAUCCCAUUUUUCUAUCAAAACCUUUUCGGAAAUGGCACAAUUUGGCUCAAUUUUCGGUCACAUUGCGUUGAUCAUGAUCAUGGCAUUGUUCUAUAUAUCUGCAACUAUGGCACAAGACAGCACUGCUGCUCCUUUGCCGGCGAUGGAUGCCGGAGCCGGGUUUUCUUUGCCGGUUUGUUGGGCUCUGGUAGUUUCUUCCGUCGUGGGAUCCCUCGUUGCUUUUGUCUUGCAUUGAGUGAGAUAUCGGAGUCGUGAGGAUGAUGGGUUCAUAUGUAUAUCAUUUCUUGUGGUAUUACAUAAAGAGGACGGUUUUGAUUUUGUUGCUGGAUUGUGCUGUGAUUUGCUUCUUCUUUUGAUUUAUUAAUAUCUUUUUUGUUUUGGUCAUUAUAAUGUAUUAUGAUUAAUGUAAUCAACGUCCUGUGUGAUUGAGUUAAAUGAUUUUGAAUUGCUUAAAUGGCCCCUUUUUUUUUUUUUUAAUGAUUUUGAAUUGCUUAAAUGGCCCCUAGUUAAAUGAUUUUGAAUUGCUUAAAUGGCCCCUUUUUUUUUUUUUUGCGUAUUUGCCUUAUGGGUCAUUUUUGUAAAUUCGCCUUAUGUGUACUUCUUAAGACAUAAAUCAUCAUCAUCAUCUUUUAACCCAUAAUAUUUUCACAUUUCUUAAAAAAAAAUCAAGUUGUUAUUAUUAUUAUUUUUUAAUAAAAAGCUAAAAAAAUUUAGGAUAUGUCUAUAAUAUUUAAAACACUAUCCUUUAAUUUACAUUAUGUGAAAGGGGUCGAUAUAACAUAUUACAAUUGAUUAAAUUGAAAACAUAUUAGGACACAUAAUUUAUUUCUAUUUCAUACGUUCUUUCAAUCAAUUAUAUGUUACGACAAAGGAUGAAAGUCCUCUCAUGAUUUGAUACUUUAUCUGAGCAAAUGCAAUCACGAGAUUGGUAGUUAAUAAAACGUGUAUGUAAUAAAUAAAUAAAUCUCAAUCAAAUACAAAUAAAAAUGUGUGUUUUAAAAGACCUUUCAAAAGUUACGUCUUUAUUUUAACAUGUCAAUAAUAUAUUAUGCAUUAAUUGUCAAUUAAAAAUUUAAUAUGUACUGCAAUAGAUAGAUAAUCAAGAAAUGGAACAGAUUUUCUAUCAAUAUUAUAAAGAGAUGGGCAUUAAUUAACAGAAGAAUGAUAACAAACAUUAAAAGGAUAGGUGAAUGUUUGGUAAAUAAAUGGGGUUCGUUUAUCAAAUUUUGUGUUGGCCAUAUUGGGCCCAUAGAGGCAACGGUCACAGAUUUGCAAGACCAACCACUUUUUGAAACGUGUCGCUCAAAACCACUGCUCCCCCAUACGGCGCCGCACCAGCCCACCGACAAUGGCCCCACUCAAUCAUACCGAACAAGCAAAUACAGCUAUACAAGCUACGCGGCACACAACUCACCUGCACUGUUGUGAUGCUGAGCUGUAAUGUGAACGUUGAGUUCGCCAGCUGUCCACUCUCUCGUGUCCGCAGAUCGUAUCCCUAUAAAUACUCGCCCGCUCCCGAAAACCCUAACUACCGUCUGCAGAAAAGGCAAAAAAAAAAACCACAAGCUUCUCUCACUCUCUCAAUUCGUGUUCUUUCAAUUCGAAAAAAUGGCCCAAAUCAGCAGCGUCUCUAUUGCAUUGCUCGUCGUUUUGGCGAUGACGGUCUUCACAGUCUCCGCUCAGGAAAUUUCGCCGUCGCCGGCUCCCGCAGCCGGAUCUGGGUUUUCUCUGCCGGUUUCCGGUUCGGUCGUUGGAUUCUCUUUGGUUCUCUCUCUCAUGGCUCUUUUGAAGCAUUAGAUUAUUAUCAUUAUUACUAUUUGUAAUUUUUGUUGCUUCGAGUAUAUUGGAUUGAUUCUUUGUUAUAUGGUUACGUCUUUCGUAAUAAAACGUUUGUGUUUCUUGCGCUAAUUAUUUCUUUUCUCUGUUUAUUAUUACAAAAUCAAUUAUCCAAAAAUAUCACUGAAUGAAGACUAAUGCACGUAACGAGUGAGUGAGAUUGUAUUGGAUAACAGUAAUAUUGUAACUAAAGAAAGAAUAAUAGUGUGUUCAUUAACUGUGAAGGAGCAGACUUCAACAUCAAUUUGGGAUCCUGGGGAAACUUACAAGGUGCAGUGAACACGAGGGUGACCAUAAAAAGUAUUUGGACAUAACUCAUCUUCUUCAUCAGCAUCAUGUUGGUGGUAGCAAAUGUGUACCGACCUCAUCUCGUACCGAUGUCCUAAAUAGUCUAAAUGUUUCACUUACCAUGUUCUAAUUAAUAAUAAAUUGACAUUUUGAUGAUAUUUUAAAAAAUAUUUGAAAUUAAAAUGAAAACUUAAACACCCAAGAUACAAUUAAAAUUGCUAAUUCUCUUGUAUAAUUGUUUUAUCAAAGAUCUAAUUUACAAAUAAAUCAAAAUAUCGAAUUUGAAAAAAAUUGAUGUAAACUUAAAAAUUAACAAAAAUGGUUGAAAUGGGAUCCAAUUGAGAUUUUGAGAUUUUAAUUCCAUGUUAUAUCUUAAUCAGUUAAAUGAAACUGUUUGGAAACUAUUAAAUCAAGCACCACCACUAGGGGCAGAAGAGCUUGAGUUUUUAUUUGCGGAGCCAAGAUUAAGGAUUAAUUUCAGUUUUACUCUUCGAUUUGUAAAAAACAUCUGCUAAGCCCACGCUCUAAAUAGUUCCUACCAAUUUAAAGAAAAAAAAUAUACGAGAAAUGCAAUUUUGUUUUAAGAAAUCUUAAUUAAUUAUUUGUUAUUUGAUACAAGAAAUUUGUAACAGCAUGCCUGCAGAUUCUUAUCACAAAAAAUAAAAGAAUGAGUUAUCAAUGGGUCCGUUUAUUAUUAAUUAAUAAUUCAUGAAUAAUACAAAUAUUGAUAACAAAUAAGCAAAGAAUAAAUGCAAUACUAUAUAUAUAUAUAUAUAUAUAUAUAUAUCUCCAUUCCCUCAAAAUACAGCCUCUUUGUUGACACACAACAAAUUUCCAUUCAAUGCUUCAACAGAGCAAGAAGAGAUAAAACGAGGGAAGAACCAACGACGGCGACAGAAACCGGCAGAGAGAAGCCGGCUCCGGUGUCCAUCGAAGGAGCCGGCGCCGGCGCCAUCUCGGUACUUUGCGCUGACGCGGUAGCAGCCAUUGCAAGAGUUGCCAGAACCAACACCAUAAUUGCGUUCACGGCCUUUGAUGAGCUGCUAACUUUCGCCAUUGUAUUUUAUAUAAUAUUGUUAAAAGUGUUAAAAGAACUUGAAAUUGCUAUCCGAGCUGAGCACAAGUAAUUUGGUUCAAUAUUGUAUUAGAGUUUCUUUUCGUGUGAGGUAGCCACGUAUACAUACGUGGUCGGUGAUGAUUGGUCUACAGGUUGGUCAGCAGCGUAUAAAGCAGCUGGACACGUGGGAACAUGUAUGGUCAGUUGAGCGUGUAUAAUGUUGUGAUGGGAGUCCAUACCAAAGCCCAUGUGCAGGUGACCAGCGCAAAAUUAGAAGGGUCGCAAUUUUCUAAGCCAAGAAAGCAAAACUUAGAAGAAUAAACUUCAAUGUUCUUACAGUUUUCUACGUACUUCGUAUCAUGAAAUGACCAUAUUCUCCUUGACAACCUAGUAAGCUCAACGGUCGGUCACCAAUUGUUACUAUUAUAUAGUAGGAUCAGACUGAAGAAGUGGUUUAAAGAUUGUUGAAAAAGAAAAUAAACAAGAAAAAAAUGAUAAAAGGGACAAACUAGUGAUAAAAUAAUUCGAUGUGGGGUUAUAGUUUUAUAAAUAAAAUAUUCAAAUUCAAACGAAAUUAUAAUUAUUAUUAUUUACGCUAUCCGUGUAUAUUUAUUCUGUUCUAAUAUCACUGCUAAUUAGUUAAUUAAUGUUCAGCAUUUAAAUAGAUUAACAUUUGGUACAAUUUAAUGCAUUGAUUUUUCUUAUUUUUUUCAUUAAUUUAAAAAAUCUAUUAGAAAAUUAAAGGGUGAUGUGUCCUGGCAACAUCAACGAUGACCUGACAUGAUGGUAAACAUAUAAAAUUAUGAUAUCCAGUUCCAGUUUUGGCUGUCUGUAGGCACUGACAGGUUUUGGUUAAUGGACCACUUAAGGCGGAUCAUUAACUGGUGUCAAGCUUUCAUUUGGGAAGUGAUUAUACAACUGCGAAAAAUAGAUCAGGAUCCUACAUACAUAUAAAUAUCUUUUAUUUAUUGAAUGUUAGUUCUUUUCACUCUUGAAACAAUGGAAGACUACUGUACAUUAGCACGAAUCUUGCGGGUUAAAUGUCUUUUUCCCUCUUGGCUCUAUAUGUUUAUAAAAUUGUAGAUUAUACAACACACACACAUGGUGGCACCUCUUAAAACUUUCUUAAUGAGAUGAUUUUGCCCAGGAAAAAAUUACGUGCGGAGCUAUCUUAUCUGCUCAGCAUGUUGAGGUAACGAGAUAAUUUAAUGGUUGGUAGAGCGAUGCGUUUUAUUGUAAAAUUCAUUAAUAUUUUUAAUAUUAAAUUUAAUGGAUCUUAGUAUAAGAUUUACUGUUGAUCUCACAGUGUCACCAUUAUUCUGUCACAUGAUAAAACACUAUUAGAUUGUCUCAAAUGGCUUCACAAAAAUCUUUUUCUAUUGCCAAAUUUGUAUAGUAAAAUCAUAUUGAACCAUGUAUCCAUAUCGUUAAAUAAUUAAAAGGAGAUAAAGAUAAUGACAAUGAAAGAAUUAAGGAAAAAAAGAAUGACUCAUCUAAAAUCAUACUAUAUAAAUAUAUAGCAUAUCAAGAUUUCAAUCAGUAGUGACCGAUCAUUUUCUCAUCUAAUAAAAGAGAGAUAAAUCUUCAGAGGAGUAAGAAUUAUCCUUCAAAUUAUGCUAAUACUUUUUUAUAAAUCAAACGCUAAGUUAAGCAUCAGACGGUCGUGUAUAAAUGAAAGAUGGAUGCUCCGAACUUUAGGAAUCAAAAGACGAAACAUUUCUUAGAAAUGAAUGAUUUGGAGCCCCUUUAAUAUUUUUUUUUUUUAAUUUAAUGAUCUUUACCCACAAACAAUCUGUAGAUUCAUUGCACAUGCUUGUAUACAACAUGAUUAAGGCACGCAACCGUUUACCGACUUAACAAUGGUCAACAUCGUGAGUCCAACUACCACGUGCCAACGUGUUCCAGAUCCCACUCGGACCCUUUUUUCCGUCCCGACCAAUCUGAGUCUGUCAAGAUACGCUUUGCAGCGAAAACCAAACCAAACACAACUAGUUAGCUGUCACACAGUUCAAAGCGGGCUCCACAAGUCGCGCAUAAACCUCACUAUAUAAGCACCACCGAACAUUUAACCGAGUCAUUGCCAAUAACUUGCUUACUGAAUCAAUUCUUUGUUUUCACAUAUAGUUCUUGCUUCUUGUUUUUCUUCAGCAGUUAAUAUUAACACAGAUGGGGCAAAUUAGCAGCUUUAAGUCAGUCAUGAUGGUGUUCGUUUUGGCAGCUUUUGCAAUGGCUGCUGCUUCAGCUCAAAGCACCGAGAUGGCCCCGGCACCAUCUCCUUCAUUGGACACCGGAGCAGCCUCUUCUCUUCCGGUUUCCGGUGCUGUUAUUGCAUCUUCGCUGUUUGUUUCUCUUCUCGCUCUCCUGAAGCACUAAGUCGUUUGGUAAUGGAAGAAAAUCAUAGUUAUUACUAAGAUAUUAUUUUCGAGGAUGAUUGGAGAUUAAUGUAUUGAAUUAUUCAUUUGUUCGUUUCAUAUUUCAUACUAUUAAUGACAUAAUAAUACUUAUUCUUUCUGUAUUCAUUUGGUUUUUCUUUUGAGUUCAAUCACUUGUAGUUUAUUAUUAUUAUUAUUUAAGUAGUAUGUUAAUUUCUAACGAGAACAAGUUAAGGCCUGAGUUGGUAUUAAAGUUGGACAAUCGGAACUUAAAAUUAUGAUUAGAUUACACUUGUUCAAAUAAUAAUAUAAAGUGAAAAUAUCUCCAAAUGGUUCAUUUAAUAUUUUUUUAGGUACUUAUUUACUUAAAUAUGUGACAAAUAGAACAGUAAAAAAUAAAUUUUCUUAAAUACUCUUUGAAUAAAAAUAAAUUUAUGUUAAAUUAUAUUAUUUUUAAUAAUAUAAUUAUAUUAUUUCUAUCUUUUCAAUAUUGAUAAUAUAAAAAAUAUAAUAUUAUUUGAAGAGAAAACAAUCACUUUUCAAUAUUGAUAAGAAAGGAGGAUAAUCUUAUUUAAAGGGAAUUUUAAAACUUUACUAUUGAUAAGAAAGGAGGAUAAUCUUAUUUAAAGGGAAUUUUAAAACUUUACUAUUGAUAAGAAAGGAGGAUAAUCUUAUUUAAAGGGAAUUUUAAAACUUUACUAUUGAUAAGAAAGGAGGAUAAUCUUAUUUAAAGGGAAUUUUAAAACUUUACUAUUGAUAAGAAAGGAGGAUAAUCUUAUUUAAAGGGAAUUUUAAAACUUUACUAUUGAUAAGAAAGGAGGAUAAUCUUAUUUAAAGGGAAUUUUAAAACUUUACUAUUGAUAAGAAAGGAGGAUAAUCUUAUUUAAAGGGAAUUUUAAAACUUUACUAUUGAUAAGAAAGGAGGAUAAUCUUAUUUAAAGGGAAUUUUAAAACUUUACUAUUGAUAAGAAAGGAGGAUAAUCUUAUUUAAAGGGAAUUUUAAAACUUUACUAUUGAUAAGAAAGGAGGAUAAUCUUAUUUAAAGGGAAUUUUAAAACUUUACCUCAUUCCGGUUGUACGAUCAUGCUUUAAAAUGUGUACGGGUCUCGUAUCAAUGUCCCAAAUAGUCUAAAUGUUUUGCUUACCAUAUUCUAAUUAAUAAUAAAUUGACAUUUUGAUGAUAUUUUAAAAAAGAUUCGAAAUUGAAAUGAAAAACAUCCAAGAUACAAUUAAAAUUGCUAAUUCUCUAGUAUCAAAGAUCUAAUUUACAAAUAAAUCAGAAUAUUGAAUUUGAAAAUUUGAUGUAAAAUAAAAAAUUAAAAAAAAAUGGUUGAAAUGGGAUCCAGUUGAGAUUUUGAGAUUUUAAUUUCUUAUUGUCUCUUAAUCAGUUAAAUGAAACUGUUUAAAAACUAUUAAAUCAAGCACCUCUAGGGGCAGAAGAGCUUGAGUUUAUUUGCCAAGAUUAAGGAUUAAUUUCAGUUUUGCUCUUCAAUUUGUAAAAACAUCUGCUAAGCCCACGCUCUAAUUAGUUGCCACCAAUUUAAAGAAAAAAAUUACGAGAUAUGCAAUUUUGUUUUAAGAAAUGUUAACUAAUUAUUUUUUAUUUGAUACAAGAAAAUUGCAACAGCAUGCCUACAGAUUCUUAUAAAAAAAAAUAAAAGAAUGAGUCAUCAAUGGGCCCGUUUAAUGGAAAUUAAGAUUUUUUAUAGAUUUUUUUUCUAAGUAGUAAAGAAGAAAAACCAAAUGAAUAAAGUGAAAAAAAAAGAUGAAAUAUUAUUAAUUAAUAAUUUAUUGAUAAUACAAAUAUUGAUAACAAACAAGCAAAGAAUAAAUGCAAUACUAUAUCUCCAUUUCCUCAAAAUACAACCUCUUUUUUUACACACAACGAAUUUCCAUUCAAUGCUUCAGCAGGGCAAGAAGAGAUAAAACGAGGGAAGAACCAACGACGGCAAGAGAAACCGGCAGAGAGAAGCCGGCUCCGGUAUCCAUCGAAGGAGCCGGCGCCGGCGCCAUCUCGGUACUUUGCGCCGACACGGAAGCAGCCAUUGUAAAAGUUGCCAAAACCAACCCCAUCAUCGCAUUCACGGCCUUUUUUGAGCUACUAACUGUCGCCAUUGUAUUAUAUAUAUACUGUUAAAAGUGUUGAAGAACUUGAAACUGCUAUCCGAGCUUACAAGUGGUUCGGUUCAACGUUUGUGAUGGUUAUAUAUAAGAGCUUCUUUUCGUCUGAGGUAGCCACGUGCAGGUACAGCAAUGCCGCGUAUAUAUAUACGUGUUGGUGAUGAUUGGUCUACGGGUUGGUGAGCAGCGUAUAAACAUAUAUAAUCAUGAUAUCCAGUUCCAGUUUUGGAGGUCUGUAGGCACUGACAGGUUUGGUUAAUGGAGCAAUUAAGGCAGUACACUAACUGGUGUCUAGCUUUCAUUUGGGAAGUGAUUAUACGACUGCGAAAAAUAGAUCAGGAUCCUAUAUUAUAUGAUGACUCGUAUAUAAAUAUUUUUAUUUCUUGAAUAUUUGUCUAUUCACUCUUGAAACAAAUGGAAGACUACCGUGCAUUAGCACAAAUCCUGUGGGUUGAGUGUCUUUUUAACUCUUGGCUUUAUAUGUUUAUAAAAUUGUAGAUUAUACAAUACAUACACAUGGUGGCACCUCUUAAAACUUUCUUAAUGUGAUGAUUUUGCCAAGAAAUUAAUUUGUGCCGAACUGUCUUAUUAGCUAAACAUGUUGAGGUAAUGAAACAGUUUAAAGUUGGCAGAGCGAUGAGUUUUAUUGUAAGAUUCACUGAUAUUUUUAAUAUUAAAUUUAAUACAUCUUAUUAUAAGAAUUACUAUUGAUCCCAUAAUAAGACUACUGUUAUGUCACAUGACAAAACACUACUAGAUUGUCUCAGAUAACCUCACAAAAGUCCUUCUCUAUUGCCAAAUUUGUAUAGCAAAUUCCUAUUGAAUCAUGUAUCCAUGACCUUAAGUAAUUAAAAGGAAAUAAAAAUAAUGACAAGGAAGGAAUUAAGGGGAAAAAAAAUAACUCUCGUCUAAGAUUGUACUAUAUAAAUAGAUAAUAUAUUAAGAUUUUAACUAGUAGUGACCGACCAUUUUCUCAUCUAACAAAAGAGAGAUAGGUCAUUAGAGGAGUAAGAAUUAUCCUUCAAAUUAUUAUAAUACUUUUUUUUAUAAAUCAAACGCUAAGUUAGGCAUCAAAGGGUCAUCAAUAAAUAGAAGAUGGAUACUCAGAACUUUAGGAACGAAUCAUUUCUUAGAAAUGGAGGAUUUGGAGCCCCUUCAAUACUUUUUUUUUUUUUAAUUUAAUGAUCUUUACCCACUGUCAAUCUGUAGAUUCUAACCAAUUCAUUACACAUGCUUGUAAACUACAUAUUUAAGGCACGCAACCGUUUACCGACUUAACAAUGGUCAACAUCGUGAGUCCAACUACCACGUGCCAACGUGUUCCAGAUCCCACUCGGUCCCAUGUUUUUAGUUCCGACCAAUCUGAGUCUGUCAAGAUACGCUUUGGGCGAAAACCAAACCAAACACAACACGUUUGCCGUCACACAGAUCGAAGCGGGCUCCACAAGCCGCGCAUACACCUCAUGACCUCACUAUAUAAGCACCACCUAACAUUUAACGGAGCCAUUGCCCAUAACUUGCUUACUGAAUCAAUUCUUUGUUUUCAUAUAUAGUUCUUGCUUCUUGUUUUUCUUCAGCAAUUAAUAUAAAUAUAGAUGGCGCAAAUUAGCAGCUUAAAGUCCGUUAUGAUGAUGUUCGUUUUGGCAGCUCUUGCAAUGGCUGCUGCUUCAGCUCAAAGCACCGAGAUGGCGCCGGCACCGGCUCCUUCAUCGGACACCGGAGCAGCCUCCUCUCUGCCGGUUUCCAGUGCUGUUAUUGCAUCUUCACUCUUUGUUUCUUUUCUUGGCCUCCUGAAGCACUAAGUCGUUUGGUAACGGAAGAAAAUCAAAAUUAUUACUACGAUAUUAUUUUCGAGGAUGAUUGGAGAUUAAUGUAUUGAAUUAUUUAUUUGUUCGAUUAAUAUUUCAUACUAUUAAUGGCAUAAUAAUACUUAUUCUUUCUGUAUUCAUUUGGUUUUUCUUUUGAGUUCAAUAACUUGUAGUUAUUAUUAUUAUUAUUAUUAUUUAAUAUAUAUGCUUAUAAUUAGUGUGUUAAUUUCCAACGAGAACAAGUCGAGGCUUGAUUUGGUAUUGAGAUUAGAUAAUCGGAGCUUAAAAUUACAAUAAGGUUGUACUUGUCCAAAUAAUACUACGCAAGUGAAUCUUCAAAAGACUAAUUUAAUAUUACUUUUUAGAUAUUUAUUUAUUUAAAUGUGUGACAAAUAGAAGUGAGAAAAAAUAAGUUUUUUUUAAAGGUUCUUUAAAUAAAAAUAAAUUUAUGUUAUUUUAAUUAAAUUCCCCUCUCUAAAUUAUAUUAUUUUUUAAUAAUAUAAUUAUAUUAUUUCUUGAAAUACUAACUAGGCAACCCAAAAGGGGGGGUGAAUUGAGAUUUUAAAAAUUAAGCUAAGCAAACCACACAACAAUUUAAUCUAUUGCCUUAAUCAAAUUGAAAACAAUAAAUUCAAUCAUGCACAAUAUUAAAAGAGUAAGGGAAGAGAAAACAAACACAAUGAUUUUUACGUGGUUCGGCAAUCCCCGCCUACGUCCACGCCUCCAAGCUCACUGGGCUUGAGGAUUUCACUAAGCUAGCCUCCCAAGGCUUCAAACGUUUACAAUUGACUUCCAAGGUGUCAAUGGACCUUUACAACAAGAGAUUAUCCACAAUCUCUUAACCCAAAUGUAUCCUAACACUUACAAUCUUUUAACUUGAUUUUACAAAAAAGAUUACAAAUGAAUCUCUCUCACACAAUGUGUUUGAUCACAAGUGAAAGCUCAAUGUGUGAAUGAAUAAGAUGAAUACAAAGAUUUAAAGCUCAAUGAAAGUUGUAUUCUCAAUAUUUUGCUCAAUGAUGAUCGUUGGAAUCCUCCUUGUUUGAAUUGGAUUGAACUUAUUUAUAGUUGGAGCUGAAAAACUAGCCGUUACAAACUGUCUGCUUUUGUGUUCAAAAUAUAACAUUUGCAUCCAAAAACUUUGCAAUAAUUAAUGUUGGGUUUUCUAUAUUUCCAAAGCUCAUAGAGAGUAUUAUUGAGAUGAUGUCUAAUCAAUGUGGUCUUAACCAUUUUUUUUUAAUAGACCUAUCAUUUUUCUCUACAACUCCAUUUUGUUGUGGAGUUCUAGGUGAUGAAAAUUUAUAUUCAAUGGCAAAACCAUUACAAAAAAAAAACCUCAAAUGCACUGCUGUACCGUACAUCCGCCUUGGCCGUACAGCAGUAAUGUGAAAAUAAUGAUUUAUUUAAAAAGAAUAAAAACAAUCAAUUUCAUAAAAUCAUUUUUCCAUUAAAUAUAAAACAUUUAUAAUGUGAAAAUAAUGAUUUAUUUAAAAAAAAUAUUAAAUAAUUUGAGCUUAAAAGAUUAAUCAUUCUUAAUCUUGUUUGUUAUCAUCAAAAUUAAUAUUAUGGAAACAUAUAUGUUAACAUUUCUAUCUUUUAAUACUGAUAAUAUAAAAAGGAUCCACCUAUGUUGCAACAGUUGCAACAUACCACACUUUUUAUCUUUAUUCUAAAUUACCAGUGGAUGUAAACUAAAUGAAUCUAACGGUUGAAAUUAGAAAGUAGGUAAAGGUCUAUGGUCGGUUGUUGAAAGAAAUUAUAAAAAAAAUUAUUAAAUAAAGAAAGUGUACAAAAAAACAUAAGUUAAAUAAGGGUCCAUGUAUAUACUGAUUUUGACUUUGUUUUGGGAGGCCGUCGUUGAAAAUAUUUUCACACCCUAGAAUUUGAGAUCAUCAAAAUCUUUUCAACCCCCAGAAAAUCCGAUCAUCGAACUAUUUUCCACCCCAGAAUUUGCGAUCAAUUUCCCGUAGAAAAAUUUAUCGUCAAGUUUCAGAUGUAACUGAUAGCAUAUUGCAGGAGACCUUUUCUAGUGAGUAUCCAUCUGUAAAAGGAGCCAAAGUUAUCAUCGACUCGAAUACUGGCCGUACAAAAGGUUACGGUUUUGUUAGAUUUGGUGAUGAAAAUGAGAGGUCAAGUGAUACAACUCUACAACUCAGAGUUUAUAUCCUAGAUUUACACUUUUCGAGUAAGUGCUGACUCCAGCAAAAAGAAGAAAAAGAAUUGAAAUUAAUGGAGAAACAGAGAUAGCAGGAGAGACGAAGAGAGAGAAGAAGAACUAUUUGGCAUUUUCUUAUUAUCCUUUCUGACCUGUUGCCCUUUUCAAAUAUCCUUUUUGUCCCACAACAAUACAAGCGUAACUAACCAACUACGACAAAAUUGGCAAAACAAAUAGUCACAACAAAAUAACCAAAAUCACAGCUGUCAUCUUUCUCGCUCCUUUUGUUCCUUCUCGAAUAUUCCUUAGGUAAUGUAAUCCUUGAGGUAUGUUGGUGCCCUGCGCAUACGAGCUGGACCUUUGAUGGGCUCCUCGACCAGCUGGGCUUCUUCCUCUGUUUCAAGUGUUGAUUUGUCAUUAGUCUCGGGCAAAGUUGUAUCAUUCCCCAUCCCUUGAGAAUUUACCUUGUCCUCAAGGUGAAGCUCGG